rnacentral:lncRNA from 1 species
CGGCACGAUCUUCUUGUCACCGGCGCCACACCAUGAUAUCCAUCAACGUGUCGCCAUCGGGGUUGUCGUGCUACUCAUGCUAUUACUACUAAAGCUACAUCCUAGUAAAAUAGUAAACGCAUCUGCAAGCACAAACGUUAGUUUAAAGACAACCCUAUGGCUCCGGCCGGUUGUCGUACCAUCGACGUGCAAGUCGAUAUUAUCUAUUACAACAUGAUCAUCUCAUACAUCCAAUAUAUCACAUCACGUCGUUGGCCAUAUCACAUCACAAGCAUACCCUGCAAAAACAAGUUAGACGUCCUCUAAUUUUGUUGUUGCAUGUUUUACAUGGUGACCAUGGGUAUCUAGUAGGAUCGCAUCUUACUUACGCAAACACCACAACGGAGCUAUAUGAAUUUCUAUUUAACCUUAUACAAGGACCUCCUCGGUCAAAUCCGAUUCAACUAAAGUUGGAGAAACCGACACUUGCCAGUCAUCUUUGAGCAAAGGGGGUUACUCGUAGCGAUGAAACCAGUCUCUCGUAAGCGUACGAGUAAUGUCGGUCCAAGCCGCUUCAAUCCAACAAUACCGCGGAAUCAAGAAAAGACUAAGGAGGGCAGCAAAACGCACAUCACCGCCCACAAAAACUUUUGUGUUCUACUCGAGAAGACAUCAACGCAUGAACCUAGCUCAUGAUGCCACUGUUGGAGAACGUCGCAUGGGAAACAAAAAUUUUCCUACGCGCACGAAAACCUAUCAUGGUAAUGUUCAUCUACGAGAGGGGAUUUCCGAUCUACGUACCCUUGUAGAUCGCACAGUAGAAGCGUUAGUGAACGCGGUUGAUGUAGUGGAACGUCCUCACGUCCCUCGAUCCGCAACGCGAACCGUCCCGCGAUCCGUCCCACGAUCUAGUGCCGAACGGACGGCACCUCCGCGUUCAGCACACGUACAGCUCGACGAUGAUCUCGGCCUUCUUGAUCCAGCAAGAGAGAUGGAGAGGUAGAUGAGUUCUCCGGCAGCGUGACGGAGCUCCGAAGGUUGGUGGUGAUCUGAUGGAAACGCGAUCUAGAGGUAAAACCGUGGAGGUAUGUGGUCGGGCUGCCGUGGAAAAGUUGUCUCAAAUCAGCCCUAAUUGCUCCAUAUAUAUAGGAGGAGGGAGGGGAGGCUUGCCUUGAGGCUCAAGGAGCCCCAAGGGCUGCGCACCAAGGGGAGGAGGAGUCCUUCUCCAAUCCUAGUCCAACUAGGAUUGGAAAGUGGAGUCCUUCUCUCCUUUCCCACCUCCUUUUUUUCUUUCUCUUUGAUUUUCUAUCCUUGGCGCAUAGGGCCCUCUUGGGCUGUCCCACCAGCCCACCAAGGGCUGGUGCGCCACCCCAAGGCCUAUGGGCUUCCCCGGGGUGGGUUGCCCCCCCCGGUGAACACCCGGAACCCAUUCGUCAUUCCCGGUACAUUNNNNNNNNNNNNNNNNNNNNNNNNNNNNNNNNNNNNNNNNNNNNNNNNNNNNNNNNNNNNNNNNNNNNNNNNNNNNNNNNNNNNNNNNNNNNNNNNNNNNCGACUCUGUCACAUGAAAACACCUCUUGAACUUUUGUUGAAUGAAAUCCCUGAUUAUACGUUCUUCAAAGUUUUUAGGUGUGCUUGUUGGCCACAUCUUCGUCCAUACAAUCAACGCAAAUUUGGAUUUCGAUCUAAACAGUGCAUGUUUCUUGGCUAUAGUUCUCUUCAUAAAGGGUACAAAUGUCUUCAUGUUCCCUCUAACCGCAUAUAUAUCUCUCGUGAUAUGGUGUUUGAUGAGAAUGUUUUGGCCGCAUCGGGGUGUGCAUCGUGGCCGCAGAGGAUGGGGAGGGAGGGCUGGCGGCCAUGGCGGGCCAGGAGGAAGCCGCGGCCUAAGGUGGCACGGUGCCAGGUGCGGCAAAAGGCACGACAGAGAAGCAGGGCUUUGGGGGGCAGGCGGACGAGUAUCUCUCAUAUCAUGAUGUCGAGAUGCCGCGGUGGAGAGGCGUCGGUCGUGCCCUUGCGGACUUUGCCAUGGUAUACAAGUGAAACGAAAGCAGUAGAUUUAUUUUCUUCUUUGUAUAAACAAUGGGCAGUGCUACGCGUUCAUCGGACGAUCUUUUUAAAAGAUCGGCCCGAUUACGAGUCGUUGGAUAUAGCAUCAUCGUGCGGACGUGCUACGUCUUCCACCGCCGCAACAAAGUUGGUGUUGCGGGAACUUCUACAACGUAGGUAUUGUUGCAGAAACUUCUCACGACGGUGACGACCUCUCAUGCCCAGUCGCUCCUUUAUGAAGACACUUGUACCCUUUAUGAAACACAUGCUUUCUCAUUAAUCGACUACCUACAUGACUAGGUUUUGGACAUUUUUGCCCCUAUGUUCACUGCUCCCUUACCCCUUCGUCCUCCUCGAGCUCACUUGCACAAAUAAACAGAGAGUGGGAGAGCUUGUGAAGAACAGAUCAACAACCACCGUGGGAGAGGCCUGAGCGGGAGGAGAAGAUGCGGACGCCGAGCGUCCCGUCGUCGAACUCGUCGACGGCGGCUGGUUCUAGUGUCGUAGAGGUAAGUGAAGCACUCCAUUCACAUUUCAUGUUGGAAUUAUGCCCUAGAGGCAAUAAUAAAUAUAGUUAUUAUUAUAAUUCCUGUAUCAAGAUAAUCGUUUAUUAUCCAUGCUAUAAUUGUAUUGAAUGAAGACUCAUUUACAUGUGUGGAUACAUAGACAAAACACCGUCCCUAGCAAGCCUCUAGUUGGCUAGUCAGUUGAUCAAAGAUAGUCAGUGUCUUCUGAUUAUGAACAAGGUGUUGUUGCUUGAUAACUGGAUCACGUCAUUAGGAGAAUCACGUGAUGGACUAGACCCAAACUAAUAGACGUAGCAUGUUGUCGUGUCAUUUUGUUUGUCUACUGUUUUCUUGCGUGUCAAGUAUUUAUUUCCUUACUGACCAUGAGAUCAUAUAACUCACUGACACCGGAGGAAUGCUUUGUUGGAAUUAUGCCCUAGAGGCAAUAAUAAAUGUAGAGUUAUUAUUAUAAUUCCUGUAUCAAGAUAAUAGUUUAUUAUCCAUGCUAUAAUUGUAUUGAAUGAAGACUCAUUUACAUGUGUGGAUACAUAGACAAAACACCGUCCCUAGCAUGCCUCUAGUUGGCUAGCCAGUUGAUCAAUGAUAGUCAGUGUCUUCUGAUUAUGAACAAGGUGUUGUUGCUUGAUAACUGGAUCACGUCAUUGGAAGAAUCACGUGAUGGACUAGACCCAAACUAAUAGACGUAGCAUGUUGAUCGUGUCAUUUUGUUGCUACUGUUUUCUGCGUGUCAAGUAUUUAUUCCUAUGACCAUGAGAUCAUAUAACUUACUGACACCGGAGGAAUGCUUUGUGUGUAUCAAACGUCGCAACGUAACUAGGUGACUAUAAAGAUGCUCUACAGGUAUCUCCGAAGGUGCUAGUUGAGUUAGUGUGGAUCAAGACUGGGAUUUGUCACUCCGUGUGACGGAGAGGUAUCUCGGGGCCCACUCGGUAAUGCAACAUCACACACAAGCCUUGCAAGCAAUGUAACUUAGUGUAAGUUGCGGGAUCUUGUAUUACGGAACGAGUAAAGAGACUUGCCGGUAAACGAGAUUGAAAUAGGUAUGCGGAUACUGACGAUCGAAUCUCGGGCAAGUAAUAUACCGAAGGACAAAGGGAAUGACAUACGGGAUUAAACGAAUCCUUGGCACUGAGGUUCAAACGAUAAGAUCUUCGUAGAAUAUGUAGGAUCCAAUAUGGGCAUCCAGGUCCCGCUAUUGGAUAUUGACCGAGGAGUCUCUCGGGUCAUGUCUACAUAGUUCUCGAACCCGCAGGGUCUGCACACUUAAGGUUCGACGUUGUUUUAUGCGUAUUUGAGUUAUAUGGUUGGUUACCGAAUGUUGUUCGGAGUCCCGGAUGAGAUCACGGACGUCACGAGGGUUUCCGGAAUGGUCCGGAAACGAAGAUUGAUAUAUAGGAUGACCUCAUUUGAUUACCGGAAGGUUUUCGGAGUUACCGGGAAUGUACCGGGAAUGACGAAUGGGUUCCGGGAGUUCACCGGGGGGGGGGGGCAACCCACCCCGGGGAAGCCCAUAGGCCUUGAGUGUGGCACACCAGCCCUUAGUGGGCUGGUGGGACAGCCCAAAAGGGCUCUAUGCGCCAAGAAGAGAAAAAUCAAGAGAAAAGAAAAAAAGGGAGGAGGUGGGAAGGAAGGGGGACUCCCUCCCACCAAACCAAGUCCAACUCGGUUUGGGGGGGGGAGUCCUCCCCCCUUGGACUCGGCCGACCCCCUUGGGGCUCCUUGAGCCCCAAGGCAAGGUCCCCUCCCUCCCACCUAUAUAUACGGAGGUUUUAGGGCUGAUUUGAGACGACUUUUCCACGGCAGCCCGACCACAUACCUCCACGGUUUUUCCUCUAGAUCGCGUUCCUGCGGAGCUCGGGCGGAGCCCUGCUGAGACAAGGUCAUCACCAACCUCCGGAGCGCCGUCACGCUGCCGGAGAACUCUUCUACCUCUCCGUCUCUCUUGCUGGAUCAAGAAGGCCGAGAUCAUCGUCGAGCUGUACGUGUGCUGAACGCGGAGGUGCCGUCCGUUCAGUACUAGAUCGUGGGACUGAUCGCGGGAUUGUUCGCGGGGCGGAUCGAGGGACGUGAGGACGUUCCACUACAUCAACCGCGUUCACUAACGCUUCUGCUGUACGAUCUACAAGGGUACGUAGAUCACUCAUCCCCUCUCGUAGAUGGACAUCACCAUGAUAGGUCUUCGUGCGCGUAGGAAAAUUUUUGUUUCCCAUGCGACGUUCCCCAACAUUUCACCCCCUCGUUCUAGGGUUUCUCUGAUUUGGGUAUUUUUUUUUGAUUUUCUGCUAAUUUAUAUCGAUGGGAUGGUGAAGGUGGAGCUCGUCUCGGAGUACCAUCACCUGGACGAAUCAUUUUCUGGCUUGGAUACUAGAUCUAAGCACUGUUGUCGUGGACAUGGCCUAGUUCUUGCUCGUCGUGUGGCUUGGGGAGGGGCUAGCGUUGGCCGAUGAUUUUUGGGAUGCCCUCUUGAUGUAGUGAGUUUCUUGUCAAUUUGAGAGGUUGCUGUUAUAUUGAAAUUUCUAAUUUUUUCAUCUAAUUAGUUGCCACAUGAGUGCAAGUGGGUGGUUUGGGUUGACCCUCCUCCUCAACUACGUGUGGCCCUUGCAUUUGAUGAUCUACAUGCACAGAUUGAACGUAGCUGGAUCAAGUCUCAGAAAUUGUAGAGGGAAAAUAUGGAGCUGACAAAGAAGAACCAUGCUUUGAAGAAGAAACUGAAGGAGAGAGAUGAGAUGCUCAAUGUUUGUGCAGUGUUAUUUACUAGAAUUGUUGUAUGUGUUGUAGCUGUGGCCUUCUUAGUGUUUUCAGAGAAUCAAGCUACUAAAUGAAGCAAGUAUGUUUGCUCUUGUUGUAGUGCAUGAGAUGAACUUUGUAAUGUACCAAUCUUAAUGUAAUGCCAUUUUGUCCUAUUUGGUGUUCUAAAUUUCUACAGUUUGGUUCAUAUUGAUAUAUGACUAGUGAGAUGACCAAAUAUUUGGUUCAUAUUGAUAGAUGACAUAAUAGGUUAAAGUUCAACAACUUCAAAUUAAAUCAUGACAUGGCAAGCAUCACAUAUGAUCAAACAAGUUCAACAACUUCAAACUAGUUCAUCACCCAUAGUAGUUCAACAAUAGUUCAUCAAGUCACCUACUAGCUCAACAUGAAGACACCUCAAACAGUAGUUUAACAACAAGUGACAAUACUAGUUCAACAUAAAGUCAUCUCAAACAGUCACCAGCAAGUGCAAAUGAACAACUAAAACUUGAGUUUUUUGCUCCUGGUGUUCUCAACUAGAUUGGGGACUAGCCUUGAUUUUCUUCUAGUGUUUUUUGCUGGGUUGGGGGCUAGCACACCAGGAACUUCAAUUGUUAUCGUGUGCUUCUUAGCUGGAGAAGCUCCUCUAACUUCUGCCCUCUUAUAAUUCUUUCUUGGGCUGUGAAAAGUGCAAGCAUGUCAACUUUUAGAUGACAAUGCAUGAAAAAACAUAAAUACACAAAGAUACAUAAACAUCACCCGAGUACACUAGCUUGUGGUGGCUCUUGUGGCGGAUCUUCUGCAUCUGUUCCAUCUUAUUCUUCCACUACUGCCACUUAAAGUGCUCGCUCUUCUGCAUUUUGUGCUCCCUAGUGUUCAUCUUCACCAAAAGCUGCAUCAACUGAAUUUUUUCACUUGUUGGCAUGGUGUCCUAGUCCUCCACACCUGCCACAUUUUUUCUUCCUAGUCCCUAGUCCUUUUCCUUCACUACUGGACCUAAUUCUAGUUCUCCUAGGACUGCCAGGUGUUGUGUUUUGAACUGGAGCACAAAGUUUAAAUCCUGGAUUCAUAAUUCCCAGUAUUGCUUGCCUUCUAGAGAUGGAAGGUUGACAACAUAAGUAGCUCUGAAUUUCUCCAGAGAAUUAAACUUGUGCACAUACUGAUCAAUUCCACUAGCUUCACCUCUAAGAGAAGUGAUAAAGAACAUAACAUGGAUACAUGGCUUACCAGUUACUUGCCAUUGUCUGCAACAACAAGACCACUACUGUAAGUCAACACCGUACCUCCAUUCUCUUUUUUCUCUAUAAGUAGCAGUAACUUCGGCCUCUCUUGGGCUUCUUCUAAUCAAGCUCAUCUCUAAACCUUUUGUCUUUGCCAUUAAGGCCUUCAUCACAGACGUAACAAUGAGAUGACCUUCAAAAUGAUCAAUGACAAACAUGUUCCUUAUAUCAAAUUUCUGCAUAAUGUACUGCCUGAUCUUGUCACACAAGUCUACUAUGUGAAGCCCCUUGUAUUUCUUGAUCCUUGAGUUGAAAGCUUCAGCAAGGUUGUUGUUCACAUAGUUUACCUUGCAAGUAUCAUUGAUGUGUGCUCUAGCCCAUAUUUUUGUGUGGUGCUCCUCUAAAUAUUCUUUAACUUUGGGCCUGCUGCGCAAGUGAAUCAGAUGAUAGUUGUGUUUCUUAAUGUUGUAUGUAAGUGAGCAUGGCCACAAAUUUUCAUCAUAGAACUUGCCUUUAAAUUUCUUUGUGAAGUUUUGAGCCAAAUGCCUCAUACACUCCCUGUGCUCCACUCCAGCAUAUACUUCAUCAAUAGUUGUCUCCAAUCCUUUGCAUGCAUCUGUAUGUAUGACUAAACCUUCAGGAUGUCCUAUUUGUUUCUUUAGUUGUUGGAAGAACCAAUUCCAGCUCUCAAUUCACUCUACUUCUAUGACACCAUAUGCAACUGGUAAUAACUAGUUUUGUGCAUCAAGGGCGCAAGCAGAAACAAGCUGGCCCUUGUACCUACCAUUCAGUGCAGUUGCAUCCACAGCAAGGUAAGGCCUGCACCCCUCCAAGAAACUUUCUGACAUGCCUUGAAGCACACAAACACUCUUCUGAAACACUCCAUGUGCAGUUUAUUUCCUCUCAAUGAGUAUUACACAAUGUGCUUGUCAAUUUCAACUACACUACAUAGUGACGUUCUCUCAACUUCAGCCUUGAAUAAAGCAGAUUGAAAGUAUCACUGUACUUGCCAAACAUCUUGCCUAGUGCCAUUUCUUUACCAAAAUAACACCUACUAUAUGGCACCUCCACUCCAUACUUCUCUGUCAACCUGUGCUGAAUUUCCUUUGGAACUAUGCAUGGAUUAUUUCUAAUCCAAUCCAUAGAAGCAUCUGCUAUCCAUCUUCUCUUUGAAGCCCUCAAUCUCUGAGAUCUGUUAACACUAGGACAGUUGUGAGGGUAAGGGUUGACCUUAAUCUGCUAAAAAAGAAUAAACAAUUAGUAAAUGCAACAUAAAUUUUGAAUGCAUUAGUACCUGAAAUAAUGUGCUUCUCCUCAUUAAAGAGGCAUGCAACCUCCACUUACAUCUAUCAGUGGCACAUUUCACAAAUGUACUCUGUUUCGGUGCUAAUUGAGAAAGUUGCAACUGCAUUUCUGCCGUCAACAACUGAAGGAAAAAAACUACACCUUCCCCAAUAGAGGGAUUAUCUUUGUCAUACAUUAUAAUAGGUUUGUCCUCAUCUUCAGUUUCAAAUACUCCAUUAUCUAGGUCCUCCUACUUCUCGUCUUCAUAUGUAUCUGAGAAUUCAGUAGGAAUGUACUCCUCAUCUACAUGAUCUUCCUCAUUGUUGUGCUGAGCAUAGCGUGGAUAAAGUUUCUCAUCUUCUUCAUCAGAAAAAGUGCUGCAUCGGGCUCUGCUUCCUCCACAACAGGAUCAACUGGUAUGCUAGUUUAGCUUUGGUUUUACUGCAAGAAUGCUCAGAGUGAGCAUUUGCACUUGGAGUUGUAGGUGGCCUACAACUGCUACUUGUUGCCCUUGUAUUACUCCUAGAUUUUGCAGAUGCUUUAGAACCAGAGGGCCUUGAACCAGUGGGAUUUGAAUUAUUUUGUGAUCUAGGUCUCUCAAUAACAGUGAUUUCCAGAUUGCAUGACAUGGUUUGUGCAUUAUUUGCAACCACGACACUGAUACGUCCAUUUUGCAUCAUGCUUUCAUGUUGAUAUUUAUCGCUUUAUGGACUAUUAUUAUACUUUAUGGAACCUUACUUAUGCCUUUUCUCUCUUAUUUUGCAAGGUUUACUUGAAGAGGGAGAAUACAGGCAGCUGGAAUUCUGGACUGGAAAAGGAGCAAGUCUGAGUCCUCUAUUCUGCGCAACUCCAAAUGCCUUGAAAAUCAACAUGGAUUUUUUGGGGAAUAUAUAAAAAAUAAUGGGCGAAAGAAGUGUCACAGGGGAGCAACCAGGGGCCCACAAGCCUGGUUGCCGCGACCUACCCACGUGGUCGUGGCAACAGGGCUUGUGGGCACCCUGGUUGCCCACUGGCCCCCUCUUCUGCUAUAUGAAGGGUUUCGUCCGGAAAAAAAAUCAGGGUGGAGCUUUUUCAUGGAUUCGCCGCCGCCACGAGGCGGAACUUGAGCAGAUCCAAUCUAGAGCUCCGGCAGGACGAUCCUGCCGGGGACACUUCCCUCCCGGAGGGGGAAAUAGUCGCCAUCGUCAUCACCAACACUCCUCUCGUCGGAGGGGAGUCAUCUCCAUCAACAUCUUCAUCACCACCAUUGCUACUGCAACAAAAGACCUUCCAACGGCGCCAGAAAUAGGUGUGUCGACGGCACCAGGAAUCCUUCUCCUACAGCUAGGCCUUAAGGGACUUCCUAGGAAAAUAUGCAAAGGAUUUCCCCCGUGGCCUUGGAUCCUUGCGUUGGUGUUCUCUCGAAGCGGAAAGGGUGAUGUAGCGCAGCGGUGGUAAGUAUUUCCCUCAGUUUGAGAACCAAGGUAUCGAUCCAGUGAAGGAGUAUCACAAGAGCCUGCACAAACACAAAAAGCUUNNNNNNNNNNNNNNNNNNNNNNNNNNNNNNNNNNNNNNNNNNNNNNNNNNNNNNNNNNNNNNNNNNNNNNNNNNNNNNNNNNNNNNNNNNNNNNNNNNNNGGGGUGGAGAGAGAGAGAGUGGGCACGGGAGAGAGAGUGGCCUGGGAGGGGGUGGGGGUUAAUUUUUUUAUUGUAGUGGCGCACCACCUAUGAAUGCGCAUGGUUACUAAUGGCGCACCAGCUGGUGGUGCGCCAUUAGUAGUUUUGCAAAAAAAACAUUUUUUUAUAGUAGUGGCGCACCACCUACAGAUGCGCCAUUAGUAACCCUGGUUACUAAUGGCGCACCAGCUGGUGGUGCGCCAUUAAUAGUUUUGCAAAAAAAAAAUAGUAGUGGCACACCGAGUGUGUGGUGCACCAUUAGUGUCCAUCACUCUAAUGGCACACCUGCACAUGGUGCGCCACUGCUAUAUAGUAGUGGCGCACUACUUGUCUGGUGCGCCAUUAGUGUCUAAAUCAUCUAUAGCCCUUUUCCUAGUAGUGCCAUUAAAACCUAUCAUCUAAAUCCCCUUUAUUUACCCAGCCGGACGGUCACCACUUACUCACCACCACUUACCCUACCCUCUUUGUCUCUCACUCUUCCUCCUACCCAUCCCCAUGAGCUCCAACAACAACUCGAGCCCCAUCUCCAACCCCUUUCCUUGGGGCAUUGAAUGAAGGGCUUUUUACCUAAGGUUCUCGCUCGGUGAUCGCACCAAGUUCGAGUACACCAUGAAAGUAUGCUCAAACUUCAACUAAAUGGAAGAUCUUCUAAAAGAGAGCUAUGGUGAAGAAGGCGACAUCGAUGAAGGUGAAAUGCUGAUUCCUGACCCAACGAAGGGCGCUAUGUUAGUCGACAUACUACGUUGGGCCAUGAAUCAGGCCGACUCCGGCGAUGAUCGACAGAGGGCAAAGUGGGCCAAGUACAGAGAGUACCGGCAUCCUCAUGACCAUCGUGCCGCAGUGUACUUCACCACAAGGAUUGUGAGGCUCCUCCUCUCCUAGAGAGGGAACAAGAAACCAUGGCGAUGGAGGUAGAAGAAUAAGAUGAAGUGGCAUGGUUGUAAGGGCCAUAGAGCCAGGACGCCGAAGCAUGCCAAUUGAGUUAGACUCCGGCGAGGAAGAAGAGACGAUGGUGAAGGUCGAGGAGAAGAACAAGGACAAGGUCACAUGCCGCUCCAACCGCCUCUAGGGUCGCCAUGUCUAAGAUCUGAGACUAUUGUGUAAAACUAACCCGUAAUCUCAAUUCCUCUUGUACUCAAUCCGGACGGGGAACCUCAAGAUCUGAGUCAUGAUGAUGCUAUUUAUCCUGAUUCCCCAUUACCCUAACACAGAUCGAACUUAAAUGUGGAUCGAAUGUGAAAUAGUACGUGGGAACGGGAAAAAGUGCUUAAUGACAUUGCCGAACUGCUGUCACGGAUAUCGGUGAAGGGACGGAUGUCAACUUGCUGUUCUCCGAGCAGAUGAAUGUCGCUCCUAUCGUCGGUGAGAGUGGGAUAAGGGAGGUGGGAGAAGGGAGAUGGGAGAAAAGGCGGUGAGGGAAGAUGAGGAUAAUAAUUGCCGACGCUUCAGGAAGCAAUGCGGCUUCUCGAGCGUGGCUCCUUGCGUGCAGCCACUGCCCAUGUGCAACACCCGGGACUAGCUCUAGAGAAACUGCAGAUCCAAGCAUAGCUCGCGGGCCUGUCUCGGAGGUGCUUUAAACUUCGUAUGGUGCAUACCCAACCUUGUACAUAGGUAACCAAACAACCCAGUUUCUUCCCACGCCAGCAUGGUUGGACCUAAUGCGGGCAACCAAACACGCCCUUUGUGAUUUCCUCUCUUGUGUGUCUAGAGUUAACGCAUUUUUCUUGUGUGGUAUCCAAACAACAGUUUUGGAGUAUUCUCGUAUUUUGGAUUCAUGUAGGAAUCCAGCACAUGACAUCUCAAUUCCUUCGUUUUUUAGUUCUUGCAUUGGGGAUGAGGCCUAAAUCAGAUGCACAUAUAUAAGACUACAUAUAAGGACAUGACAUAUUGGCUCUGAUGCUACAAAGUCACCUUUGAGAGACAUGUUGUUCACUCCCUCGUGGAGGUUAUCUUCACUGCUUGUUCUUUCAUGUCAUAUUGGGCAGGACCGUUGAAGGAAGGCGACAAGGUGGAGUUCCAGACAGGUGUGAAGCGGUUGGCUCGUGUUGCAGCAAGUCUGGCGGAUGGACAACGUGCUCGUGGGAGGCUCCUGCUGGGGGAUGGUGAUGGAAUUCGCUCCAGCUAAUCUGGUGUUUAUAUGUCGUAGCCUCAUUUUGCAAUUACCCACAGGGGUUUGAUGCCCGCUGGUUUCAUGUAGUCAUCUUUAGACCCUUUGGAUAGUUUGUCUCUCAUGCUGCCUGAGAGGUGGUAGCUAGCCACGUGCUUAAUGGUUUUAGGGAUGCUGGUUUAAGUGUCGACAUGUUUUUGCCCCGUGGAGGAUGAUCCGUUGCAGGAUCAUUUUCAGUGGGUUUCCUGUCGAUGCGCCAACUCGCUUCUCCCCUUUUAGUCUCAUGUUUUAAUCGGUCUUUUUUAGUUCUAUGCAUGAUCUUUGAAUGAUGUUACAUACUGAUGUAUUUCCGUUGGCUGUAAAAUUAAUGGAAAGGGUUGUGAGCCCGGUUGGAAAAAAUAUAAGGACAUGACAUGUAGGAAUUCUAGAUGUUACUUCAUGGGGUUCCUAUACUUAAAUGCGCAAUGCCUUAUGGAGUAGCUGCCACUAAUGAGGUGAAUAAUGCCCACUCUUUGUUUACCACCUUAUAUAUGCAAAUGUGAACAAUUAGUGACACAACGUACUGAUGCAUGCAUCGACGAAGACUUACUUUUGUGCCUUUAAAGUAAAUUAUGUUAAUCUUCAAUAUAUUUUGGAUGAGAAGAUUUGCUAUUUUUUGUUCGUUCCAUUUUGUAUGCCAAGUUGAGGACUUUGAUCAAUGAAUUGCUAUGUUGCUAUGACCAGUUAGUAAUAAACAAGCUUUUGAAUGUGGUGUUUCAAAAUAUAAUACUCUGCUCCUAGUGCGACAUAUGAGUACAUGAAUGCAUGAUUUGUUCCUUUCUUAGAACAGAUACCAAUUUGCUAGGUAUAAAAUAAUGCACAUUAACAUGUAUCAUAGAGGUUGAAAGUGCAUGCUAUGCCCCUAAUCGUCUUUUGGUGUUAAUGACAAUACAUACAUAGGAAACUAAACCUAUUUGUUGAGUGUAUCUCAGGAUGGCAAGUACUUUAGUAGAUUGAGAAUUAUGUGCCAAAGGUUGUCUGAGAAGAUUGGGGAUUUAUAUUUCGAGAAGGCUCGGGAUUAAGAAAAGAUGAUGUAGACUAGUAUUUUGAGUUUACUAAUAUUGAGUAUAGGGAUCCCGCACUAUUAAGAGGGGAUCACAGGUUUUGCGAUGAACUUGCUCAUACCACAUCUUUACUGUCAUACCCAAUACCACAUAUUCUCCACUCUGUUCUUAUAUCAAAACAGGUCUAUUGCCUCGGACCUCCGGCUCCCUCCCGACGUCCGAGGGCCGGACGACCGACAGGCUUCGGAAAUCCGCAGCCCUUCACCAGAAGUUUGUGAGUCAUAUAACUCGGAAAUCCGGCUCCCUCCGGACAUCCGAGGGCCGUACGUCCGACCAGCCCCGGAAGUCCGAAGCCCUGCACCAGUAGAAGUUGAGUUCUAUAACUCGGAUUUCUGGCUCCCUCCGGACGUCCGAGGGCCGGACGUCCGACCCCCUUUGGAAAUCCGGAACCUACCACCAGAAGAAGUUGAGUCGUAUAACUCGGAUUUCCGGUCCUCUCCGCACGUCCGGUCGCUAUUCAAUUCAAAAUAGUUCAGUUGUAUCUACAAGCCUCGGACGACCGACCCCUGUCGUACGUCCGACCCCUCGCGGACGCCAGGACUUCCGGCAACUGUCGAACGUUCGGACCUUGUGUGACUUAAUGUGUCCCCAACAGCUGUAUUUCACUCCCCACUAUAUAUACUCUUCUCCCACCUCGUGAAAGUGUGCUCAACACAGCUAGAAUACACCCAAGAACACCUUUCCUCUCACUCACUCUUGUCUACACCAAAUCCUAGAUCCCAAGAGCAUUUGUGAGUCCCUUUGAGUGUUGUUCCAAUCAAAAGAUAGAUCGUCUCCCUCUCCUCCUUCCCACCAAAGUGAUUUGUGAUUUGAGCAAGUUUUGAGCAAUCCUCGUGAUCUUGUUACUCUUGGAGGUUGGAGACUCCUAGGAGGUAGGAGUCUUCGGAGAGGAAUCAAACCAUUGUGAUAUCCCCCGGAAAGUUUGUGAAGGUUUGGAAGCCACCUCAAGGCUUACCACUAGUGGUUGAGAAACGCCUUCGUGGAGUUAUCUCAAAGGGAGAAUAGGGUGAGCCUUCGUGGCGUUGGCGUGCCUUCGUGGUAACAUCCGCUCCUCUAACGGUGACGUAGCUUCCCUCCAAGGAAGUGAACAUCGGGAUACAUCCUUGUCUCUCUUGGAGUUUCGGUUAUUCCCAACCCUAACUCUCUACUUGUGUUAAUCCUUAUUACGUACUUGUAUUUGAUUAUUGUUUACCGCUUGUCUUACUUCACUCUAAAUAGCUUACUCCUUGUCGUAGCAAUUAUUAGGCUUACACUCAUAUUCCGCACUUUUGCCUAAAAUUGCUAAGUAAUUAUUAAAAUUUGGAUUUGUACCUAUUCACCCCCCCUCUAGGUCCAUCUCGAUCCUUUUCAAUUGGUAUCAGAGCCUCGUGCUCUAUUCGUGUGGCUUAACCGCCCUAGAGCGAGAUGGACGGGGAACCAACUACGGUAGCUCCAGUGCGGAGGGACGGGACUUCCUCGGAAGUCAAGUCUUUCACCUCUGAGGAGCUAGAACGGGCCUUUGCCAAGCAAAAAGAGGAGCAUGAUGCUUCUCUUGAGGCCAUGGUCCAAAUGAGACUAGCAUCACUAACCACGGGGACAACCAGGUCUCCGAGGGCCUCAGGGCCACAUGUGCACGGUACUUCAUUUGGCCAACAACCUCCAGAAAGGAACCAAACCAGUGUUCCAUGGAUUUAUGCUAGAUCUCAAAUUGAGAAACCUAAGUACAAUCCUGGAGGAAAACCUCCCUUGCUUGAUGAUAAUUCCGAUUUUGCUUUGUGGAGAGUUGGUAUGCAGGAUCAUCUUAGGUAUGCCAAUGAUGAGAUGUUGGACAUCCUCGAGCAUGGGUACAAUCCUGUAGAUCCAAGGUGCCUCACUCCCAGAGAAACUUAUGACAAGCAUCUGAAUGACACUGUGAUCAUGUGCAUAAGAAAAGGAAUGAAUGACAAGCAACGAAGACCUUACAUUCACAUCACAAGUGCCAAGGAACUGUGGGAUAGCAUUAUAAGGACCAAGACCGGUACCUCCACUCUUCGGCUUGCUCAAUAUGAAAUUGCGAAGGGGAAUUACAGAAUUUCUGUAUGGAAAAGGGUGAAUCUCCCAAGCAACUACUAGAACGGCUCAUGACUCUCGCCGCAGACAUUGAGUCAUGUGACUGUGACAAGACGCAAGAUGGUUUCAAUCUAACCAAGAGAUUUCUUGUGGACAAGUUACUUCAUGCUCUUGCUCCGUAUCACCAUCAAAUGGUAUGGGACAUGAGGCAGCACCAUGGGUUCAAAGAAAUGACUCCGGAUGACAUUAUAUCCACUUUCCAAUUAUUUGAAGAGUCAAAGGCAAAUGCAACAAAGCACCUUGCCAUGCAUGGCACUUCAACAUCAAAGAUCAAUCUUGCUUUGAAAGCCAAGCAUGAAUGUGAUGAAGAAGAAAGUGAAGAAGAAGAGGGUGAUGAUGACUGCGAAGAUGGUGAUGAUGUUGACUCUGAUGAAAGCCCAUAUUUUGAGGACAUUGCUCUCUUUGUAAAGAAGUUCAGUGCAGGAAAGUUCAAGGGAAGAUUCCCAAAGAAGAAGGUAAGGAAAUGCUAUAACUGUGAGGAAACCAACCACUUCUCCAAUGACUGCCCUUAUGAGAAGAGAGAAGACAAACCAAGGUUUCCAAAGACCUUUGUAAAUAAGAAGUUGCCAAACCCUAUGAACUCCAAGUUCAAGAGGACAGAUGGAAGAGCAAUGGUUGCACAAGAAGAAUCAGAUCCAGAAGAUGUUGGUGGAGUUGCCGGAGUAGCUCAGGAUACACAAAACACCUUGAGGCUAGUCAACAAAAGUGGUGAUGUUGUUCACUACAACUAUAUGAAGGACUACAAGGGCAACGCUCACAAGUGUUUGAUGGCAAAGACUGCCAUGGGAGAUGAGGAAGACCAAAACUCCCAUGAUAAGGUCAAGGUAACUCCACGGUUAAACUCUUUCAGUCUAGCUUCUACUCCAUCUGAUGAGUAUCUUGAUGCGGAAGAUCACUAUGAGGAUAAUGACUUAGAUCAUCCCAUGUUUGCUAAAAUAAACAAAUUUAUGUGCUCUCUUAAAGGAAAGAAGCUCACUAUGUUUCGCAUACUUAUGGAAAUGGUGAGUAAGCACACCAAUACCAUCAAGGAACUCGAAACCCUCGUCACUGAGGAGAAGGAAAGAAAUGAAAUCCUUGAGCAGAAAGUCUUGUAUGAGGAAGCACAAAAUGACGCACUAUGUUCAAAAGUAGGUGAAAACCUUGAUAAACAUGCUAAUGAUCUUGCCUCCUUGAAAAAGGAUGAAUCUGUGUGCAAAGAAUUACUAAAUGAGAAAGACCGACUUGUGAACUCUCAUGCUUCCCUUUCUAAGGACUAUGAGCGUCUAUCCUUGUCUCUCAAAGACAAGGAAGAGAAACUCAUUGUUCUUACAAAGAGCUUUGAGGCACUUAAGGUCACUUAUCUUGACACUCUAGCUAAGGCCUACUCCUCACCUAUUAUUAAUGUUGAUACCUGCACUACUAACUCUAGUAGUGAACUGACAUCUAUCCUUGAGGAAAACUGUUCACUAAAGGCACAGCUAGACAGAGGUCUCAUGACAUGUGCACAAGGACAAAAGACUCUCAAUGAGAUCUUAAGUCGACACAGUGGAGGCUUCGCCAAGGAAGGGCUUGGGUUCAACCCAAGCACUGCCAAGAAAAGUGCAUGUCGUGGGUAUAAGUCUGACAGUAGAUGUGUAGGGUACGAAAUGAUGGGCAGAGCCUUAGCUACGGCGAGGUUGUAUGAGUUCAGGCCCCUCUAUGGUGGAGGUAAAAGCCCUACGUCUCAGUGCUCUUGGGAGCUUGUUGUCGAGUGGAAUAUGGAUUACAGUGAAUUGCUAACCCCUGCACCAGUGGGGAAGGGCGGCUUAUAUAGAGUGCGCUACCCUUCAUAACGGUUCGGUGCACAGGGGUGGAGUAGUGGCAAAUAACUGCAUACGUUAUAGGUAACGUAUGUCUUAAAUGCUAAUAAAGGUACAUGGAAACGUAUGACCGUUGCCCUCCAGGGGGGUUACGAUGUACAGAGUGGAAUCCAGUCGGUAAGUUUGAUACGCUCCGAAUGCUCAUCUCCGACUGCAUGAUGUAGGAAUCGUCACCGACUGGAUGAUGGGAAGUCCUUAAUUCAGUCGGAACUGACUAAGGGCCUUAUCCCUUAUGAAGGGUAGUCCUUGGGUAGGACCCAUUGGGCAGGCCUAUGACCCUACCCUAGGACUAUAACCCCAUCAUUAGUCCUCGAAUGGAUCGGGGUUGGAACAACGAAGCGAUGCUCGGAGUACGGAUCCGACUGGUACGGAUGCGACUUUGGCAUUGUUUGCCUCGAUCCAUUUUGUCCUCUUGACCAGUGAUCCGAGUGGAUGUAUUUGUGAAACGAACCGUCAGGGACCGAGUGUUUCCGUGGAAUCUUUUGACGUGACCAGUCAACUGACAGCGGCGGAUUUUCUGGGAUCCUCAAAUUUCGGUUGCCGCGCGCUCGGCGGGGAUGACGACAUCGUAAUCGAGUAGUAUCUGCCACCUCGAUUUCCGCACCUUCAUCUCCUCCACUAAUAUCGCAGCGACCGGUCGGGGGAUAAGAUUUCGGGGCCACCUACUAGUGACCCAGUCGGAACCUUAUUUAAACCUCUUCAGUGAGGGUUUUUCGUUGCACUCGCCUGAUAACUCGCACUUGCCCUGCUUCUCUCGUGACCUCCUGUGCAUCCCAAGCUCUUUCCUUCCCCUCGUCCCCCGCGGAUCUGCAGCCUCCACCAUGACAAAGGGGCAGACGAGCAAGCUCGAGGCGCGGAAGAAGAAUAAAGCGGCGGCUCCUGCUCAGCGGCGGCAGCGAGCACUGCCGGCGGGUUGGAUCCAGGGGGAUUUCCUCCCCUCCACGGUGACGGUGGCGGACAUGCUGGAGCUGGUGGAGCAAGGCAUGAUCGAGCACAAGACGUGGAGGCUGCCGGCGGAGGGCGAGACGGAGCCGGCGCCCCAGGAGGGGGAGCGCGUCCUGCUGCUCAGUCACGUGUACCGAGGCUUCUCUCUGCCUCCUCAUCCCUUCUUUAGAGGUAUAAUGAACCACUUCGGGGCGCAGCUCCACCAUUUUCCUCCCAACGCAAUAGCUCAUCUCUCUGCCUUCGUCGUGCUGUGCGAGUGUUUUAUCGGCUGUCCUCCCCAUUGGGGGCUCUUCAAGCACAUCUUCUCUGCUAGAUCUCAAACCAUCAAAAGACUUAGCCAGUCGGACGACAAAACUCACCUCCUCCAGCUCUGCGGAGGCUUAGGCUUCCAAAAGAAAAGCAAAAGUAGCUAUCCUGCUCUCCAGCUGUCUGAAUCCGUUAGGAACUGGCAGUCGACUUGGUUCUACUGCCAGGACGUCGCUUGUCCGAAUGAUGCAACGGGAUUGCCCCCUUUUAGCUUAGACCGACCGGCUCCGCCUAGGCAGCUUGCGCUCACGAAGAUGGAAAAGAUCCAGAUUCAGCCUCUGGUCGACGCGUUGGUAGAUGCCGUCCGCAAGGGAGUCACCGUCAUAGAUUUGCUGGAGGUUUUUCUGGGUCGGCGUAUCCAGCCUUUGCAAGCUCGACACCACGCCAUGUGGCACUACACGGGGCCUGAGGACUCCACUCGGACUAACCCCGAGUGUGUGACCGGGGAGCUUGUGGCGUCGUGGGUCCGCAACAUCACACGCGCUUGCGAUAACCCAGAGGAGCCCGGCGAGUGAAGCCCUUCCGCGCAGACAACCCUCCUCCGAAUGAGGUGAGUAUAACUUGUCGAGUGCACACAAUUGUCUUAGGUUCAUCGCUUUUUCUUGUAUCACUGUCUGACGUCUGAUGUUAUCGACUGUAUCUCGUGCAGGCGUGGACCAACUGGUUUUCUGCCGUCUCGAACGGGAAUCCGGCUGAGGAAGAGGAAGGCAGCCAGGAGGGCAGCGUGGAGAGCGUCGAGUACGUAUCCGACAGUGGGGAGACGGAGGAGGAUUCCUAAGAACAAGAGGGGGAAGAUGAGGAGCAGAACUCGCCACCCCCACCACCAGAGCCUCGAACUAAACGCCGCCACGAACCCGUGGCUCCGUCGGCUCCUCCAGCGAUCUCGAGUGCCCCGCUAGCUACUCCUGUGGUUCCGAGUGCCUUGCCAGCUUCUCCCGUGGUUCCGAGUGCUCGGAGCACAAAGAGGACGAGGGACUCUGCUGCUGAGCCCGCGGGCCAGCCCUCUAAGGUGGCCAAACCGAGUGGAUCCAAGCCUCGGAAGGCUUUGCCGCGGAUGAGGAUCGCCGUUCCUGUCGCCUCAGCGUAAGUGUAUUCUUCUAUCUUCUUCCAGUAUUUGAUUGGACUCAUGCUUAUUGGUUGAGUGAAUUUUACUCGACAGAGCUGCCACCUCCGCCACUUCUCUGCCAUGCCAGGGGGACGAUCCCAUGGAAACGGACAGCGUCGUCACAUCCCAGCAAGGUACGUCGUGGCGACUCCGAGAGCUUACAUUAUUGUUUCACGAAUUCUGUCUUUGGUCUUGCCUUUUUUCUGUGGUCUCACGUCGUUCAGUCGGGUUUCCUUUAGAGGUGAUUCCCGUGGAGGAGGGCGACCAGAAGAGGUCCGAGCAAGCUGCGGUGUCUGUCCUUGAGGCUGUUCCAUCUGUUACUACUCCCGCCAUGGACGCGCCACCAGCCGAGAUGAUGCCGUCGACUGAAACGGCGCUCAUCGCUGCUGAGCCGACUGGAGCAGGACUUGGGAUGCCCAAGGAGUCUCUUGUGGUACCAGGUCCGUCGACCGUCGAGUACGACGUCCAACGCCUCCCAGAAGAUCAGGUGGGAGCUGCUAAGGGGGCCAUGGUGCAGGUGGAGUUGAUGGCGGGUGAUGCCAAGAGAGCGUACGACUCCAUCGCAUCUGUGUACAAGCGAAGCUUGGAACUCCGGGAAGAUAUCCGAGUAAGUGGGCUAGUAAGUAUUUACUUUCCUCUUGUAACCCAGUGGGCGUUUAAGCAAUAUACUCGGAUGCAGUAUGAUUAUUUUGCAGUGGGUUCACCCACUCUUAGUGAACCCAGUGGGUGUAGUCCCCGAGACUUCUGUCGAGUGCUUACACCGGCAGUUGUCUUUAUAUACAUUUUCUGUAAGUUGAUCAGAUCAAAACUAAUCUGUUCGAAUGUUACCGGUGGGGGCACUCCGAGUGCACCUAGUGGAUUAGUCCCGAGAGUAAUUUUACUCAGGUCGGGUAGUAGUAGCCUCGUAGGCUUAUUUUUGUUAUGUAUCUUAAUAGGGCGGACCUGUUUGAGCUUCAUUCCAGUGGGGUCACUCUUAGUGAACCCACUGGGUGUAGUCCCCGAGACCGCUGUCGACUGCUUGCGUUGGCAGGGGUCUGAAGAACUUCGAGUUUUUAUUGUUGUCCUUGUUGAAUUUGUCUGAUCAUCUCUUGGCGCUGACUUGCCGAAGACUUGCGAGAUGGGAUCAGCGUACGACACUCUGAAGGCUGAAAAGAUUCAGUUUGCUGCGGAACUGGAUGCAGCAAUGCUUGCCUUGGCUGGUAUGAAGGGUGUUCUGGCUGAACGAGAGAAGUCCUUGGAGGAGUCCCGUGAGGCAAACAAGGCAUUGGUGGCCGAAAUGGGGAAACAAAGAACCAAGCUGAUGGGACAGAUGCAGGUGAUGAACAAGCGGUGCAUAGCACAGGAGAAGUACAUCAGUGACUUGGCAAGGAAGAUGAUUGCGCUUCUCGGUGGUAAGUUCUGUUUCUCCGAGUGCCUCUUGACUGUGUAUUUCAUUCCGCGCUUACUUUUUGCUCGUCUUGUCUUUGCAGAUUUUUGCAUGGACGCUGAGGCUGAAGCAGCUGACGUUGAGCGGUCGGUUCUUCCGAACGUUCCACUCGGCGAGGACGCCAAUCGAGACAUGCUCCGAGCGCACAUUCGCCUAGGAAAAGUGGGACCUUUCAUCGGUCGACUGAGAGAGGUCGUCGGCCGAAUCGACAAGGAGCUGUGGCCCGAAGACGAGUCUCCGCAAGAGAUGGAAGGGUUGAUGACUCGGCUGGAGGAGGUCCCGAACCGAGUGCACGCGUGGAAGAAGUCUGCGGCUCGCUGUGGUGCGGACGUGGUGCUGUCGCUGGUCUGAGUGCACUUCAAGGAGGCUCGCGAAGAGAAGCUGAAGGCGUUGCAAGUCGCCAACACCAAAAAGCUUCGAUUCGAAGAUUUCAUGGAGACCUUCCUUGAGAGCGCCACUCGCAUCGCAGACGGGAUCGACCUCGACACUUUCGUGGAGCCUGCCAGUCCCAGUGCCAGUCCUGACGACGCUUGAGAAAACUUUUACCUCGGUAUGCCGAGUGUUGGUUGUAUGAAACUUUGUCCACUGCUGUUGGCCGUCACAUUCGUGGUUCAGUGUCGAUAAGCUGGAUCUACACCGAGCCAACUAUCUAUAGACGAACUUUGAAUUUGAAUCGAAUCUUUUGCUCUUCCUUUGCCAAAGAGUUGUUGACACGAUUUUGGCUCGUGGUUUUUGUUUGGCGUUUCUUAGUGAAGCCAAUGGUAAACAUGCGGAGCAUGUAAUUGUCAGUUGUCUUGACAUCUACUUGAGCCUCAUUGAGGGUCUGCUGAGUCUCCGAGUGGAUCUGUAGGAUACACUCGAAGGCAAUUGUGUACUUAGGCGAUUCAUGAUCGCGGCUAAGUCUUCGAGUGCGACUGUAAGGUCGUACUCGGAGCGAGUUGUUACUCAUGUAAUUGUCAGUUGUCUUGACAUCUACAUGAGCCUGAAUGAGGUUCUGAUACUCAUAUAAUUGUCAGUUGUCUUGACAUCUACAUGAGCCUCAAUGAGGGUCUGCUAAGCCUCCGAGUGGAUCUGUAAGAUACACUCGAAGGAAGCUUUCUAUUUAGGCGAUUCUUGAUCGCAGGCAAGUCCCCGAGUGCAACGUUUAGUGCACAUUCGGAGAAAGUUAGUACUUAGGCGAUUCUUGAUCGCAGCUAAGUCCCCGAGUGAGACGUUUAGUGCACACUCGGAGAAAGUUUGCACUUAGGCGAUUCUGGCUCGCAGCUAAGUCCCUCGAGUGCGACGUUUAGUGCACACUUGGAGAAAGUUUGUACUUAGGCGAUUCUUGAUCGCAGCUAAGUCCCCGAGUGCGACGUUUAGUGCACACUCAGAGAAAUUUAGUACUUAGCGACUCUGGAUCGCAGCUAAGUUUUUUUUGAGACUGGAGUCUGCGACCGCGGAAGAAUUUUGAAUCUGCAAAAACUCAAUCUGCUUUGUAUUACUUCAACGAUACUUGUGCUUUACAUUGCUUCAGUCGACGGUCACGUGUAGAAGCGCUUCAGGAGAUCUCCGUUCCAUGCUCGCGGCUCAUCCGUUUCCCUGUCGAGGUUGUAGAGUCGAUAUGCUCCGUUGUUCAGCACCUUGGAGAUGAUGAAGGGUCCUUCCCAGGCGGGAGCCAACUUGUGAGGUCUCUGCUNNNNNNNNNNNNNNNNNNNNNNNNNNNNNNNNNNNNNNNNNNNNNNNNNNNNNNNNNNNNNNNNNNNNNNNNNNNNNNNNNNNNNNNNNNNNNNNNNNNNUUCAAAUUCUCAAAUAUGCAAAAAGAAUUUUAAUAAACAUAGUUUUUAAUUGAAAAUAACAAAAUAGCUAAUAGUUUGGAUAGUCAAAAUAAUUAAUUUUGAAAAUAGAAAUUAGUUUUGAAUUAUUUAUUCAAUUUCAAACACUUUUCAUUAUCAUAGUUUUGUCAAAUUCUCAAAUAUGCAAAAAGAAUUUUAAUAAACAUAGUUUUUAAUUGAAAAUAACAAAAGAGUUAAUAGUUUGGAUAGUCAAAAUAAUUAAAUUUGAAAAUAGAAAAUAGUUUUGAAUUAUUUAUUCAAUUUCAAACACUUUUCAUUAUCAUAGUUUUGUCAAAUUCUCAAAUAUGCAAAAAGAAUUUUAAUAAACAUAGUUUUUAAUUGAAAAUAACAAACUAGUUAAUUUUGAAAAUAGAAAAAAAUUGAACUAUAUGAGAAUUUAUAAAGAAAAUUAAACAUAAAUUCAAAGUGACCUCACUUUGAAUUUAGGCUUAAUUUUCUCCAUAAUUUCAAAUAUAGUUUCAAUUUUUAAAUUUACAGUCACUUUAGGCNNNNNNNNNNNNNNNNNNNNNNNNNNNNNNNNNNNNNNNNNNNNNNNNNNNNNNNNNNNNNNNNNNNNNNNNNNNNNNNNNNNNNNNNNNNNNNNNNNNNGUACGAAUAGAUGGGCAGAGCCUUUGCUACGGCGAGGUUGUAUGAGUUCAGGCCCCUCUGCGGUGGAGGUAAUAGCCCUACGUCUCAGUGCUCUGGGAGCUUGUUGUCGAGUGGAAUAUGGAAUACAGUGAAUUGCUAACCCCUGCACCAGUGGGGGAAGGCUUGUUGUCGAGUGGAAUAUGGAAUACAGUGAAUUGCUAACCCUUGCACCAGUGGGGGAAGGCGGCUUAUAUAGAGUGCGCUGCUCUCCACAACGGUUCGGUGGACAGGGGUGGAGUAGUGGCGAAUAAAUGCCUAUGUUACAGGUAACGUAUGUCUUAAAUGCUAAUAAAGGCACAUGGAAACGUACGACCGUUUCCCUCCUGGGGGGUUAGGAUGCACAGACUGGAAUCCAGUCGGUUAGUUUGAUAUACCCCGAAUGCUCACCUCCGACUGGAUGAUGGAGGGUCCGUUACCGACUGGAUGAUGGGAAGUCCUUAGUUCAGUCGGAACUGACUAAGGGCCUUGUCCCUUACGAGGGGUAGUCCUUGGGUAGGACCUACAUGACAGGCCUAUGACCCUACCCUAGGACUAUAACCCCAUCAUUAGUCCCCGAAUGGAUCGGGGUUGAAACAACGACUACCCUAGGACUAUAACCCCAUCAGGCGCGUUAAGAUUCUUUGGACGCUUUGGAGGAAGCACGCGAUUUCCUGCCGCCCGAUCGGCAAUUUAUCAGCAGGACUUGCGGCGUUACCACAGCCGCCGGGUCAAGAGCCAAACCUUUCAGGAGGGCGACCUAGUGCUUCGAUUGAUCCAAGAUCGCACUGGCAUGCAUAAGUUAUCACCACCAUGGGAAGGACCAUUCGUCGUCAGCAAAAGCCUUCGCAAUGGGUCAUACUAUCUGGUGGAUCUUCGGCCUGAUCGGCCAACCACGGAGGCUGAGUCAACUCGCCCCUCGAACAUAGCCCACUUGCGGCCUUCUUACACUUGAGCUAUUAGCUCUGCUUUUUGUAAGUUUUUCAUUUUUAUGAAGCAAUAAAAUUGAUGCCCACAAGCUCGGGGGCUUUCCUGCUAUUUCAUCUNNNNNNNNNNNNNNNNNNNNNNNNNNNNNNNNNNNNNNNNNNNNNNNNNNNNNNNNNNNNNNNNNNNNNNNNNNNNNNNNNNNNNNNNNNNNNNNNNNNNGACCCGUAGGUCUGAAGUGAACUACUCACGAGUCAUUGGAGGGGCGAUGAUGAUGAUGAAGAAGCCCUCCAACUCCAAAGUCCCCUCCGGCAGGGCAUCGGGAAGGGUCUCUAGAUGAGAUCUCGUGGAAACGGAAGCUGGCGGCGGCGGAAAAGUAUUUUCGUGGAUCCCUUGAUUUUUUUUCUGAUUUUUAGGGAAUAUAUAGGCGCAAGAUCUAGGUCAGGGGGACGCCAGGGAGGCCACAAGCCUGCCCACCGCCGCUCCCCUGGUGGCGGAGUGGGGGCUUGUGGGCUCCCUGUAGCCCUCCUCGCUUGGUCCACAAGCCCCCUCAUCUUCUUCCGUUCGGGAAAAAAUCAUUUCGGGGAUUUUAUUCUGUUUGGAUCAGAUCUGAAAAAAGCCAAAAACACACACACAAAACAGGAACUCACACUUGGCACUGAAUUAAUAAGUUAGUCCCAAAAAAGAUAUAAAAGGUACAUAAAACAUCCAAAGAUGACAAGAUAAAAGCAUGAAACCAUCAAAAAUUAUAGAUACGUUUGAGACGUAUCAACCAUCUCCUCUCCUAUCCCUAGUUCAUCUCUUGUAACAAAUCUCCGUCUCGCGAAUCCGAUUGGUACUUGUAAGGUUGCUAGUAGUGUUGAUUACUCUUUGUAGUUGAUGUUAGUUGGAUUACUUGGUGGAAGAGUUUAUGUUCAGAUCCUUGAUGCUAUUCAUUACACCUCUGAUCAUGAUUAUGAUUAUGUUUUGUGAGUAUUUACUUUUUUUCCUGAGGACAUGGGAUAAGUCAUGCUAAUAAUAGUCAUGUGAAUUUGGUAUUCGUUCGGUAUUUUGAUAUGUUGUAUGUUGUUUUUCCUCUAGUGGUGUUAGGUGAACGUCGACUACAUAACUUCACCAUAUUUGGGCCUAGAGGAAGGCAUUGGGGAGUAGUAAGUAGAUGAUGGGUUGUUGGAGUGACAGAAGCUUAACCCCCAGUCUAUGUGUUGCUUCGUAAGGGGCUGAUUUGGAUCCACUAGUUUAAUGCUAUGGUUAGACGUUGUCUUAAUUCUUCUUUCGUAGUUGCAGAUGCUUGCGAGAGGGGUUAAUCAUAAGUGGGAUGCUUUUCCAAGUAAGGGUAGUACCCAAGCGCAGGUCCACCCACAUAUCAAACUAUCAAAGUAACGAACGCGAAUCAUAUGAACAUGAUGAAACUAGCAUGACAGAAAUUCCNNNNNNNNNNAGAACACCAACGCAAGGAUCCAAGGCCACGGGGGAAAUCCUUUGCAUAUUUUCCUAGGAAGUCCCUUAAGGCCUAGCUGUAGGAGAAGGAUUCCUGGUGCCGUCGACACACCUAUUUCUGGCGCCGUUGGAAGGUCUUUUGUUGCAGUAGCAAUGGUGGUGAUGAAGAUGUUGAUGGAGAUGACUCCCCUCCGACGAGAGGAGUGUUGGUGAUGACGAUGGCGACUANNNNNNNNNNGUCCGAGGAGGAGAUUGGUUACAAGAGAUGAACUAGGGAUAGGAGAGGAGNNNNNNNNNNNNNNNNNNNNNNNNNNNNNNNNNNNNNNNNNNNNNNNNNNNNNNNNNNNNNNNNNNNNNNNNNNNNNNNNNNNNNNNNNNNNNNNNNNNNAUAUAGGAUGACCUCAUUUGAUUACCGGAAGGUUUUCGGAGUUACCGGGAAUGUACCGGGAAUGACGAAUGGGUUCCGGGAGUUCACCGGAGGGGGGCAACCCACUCCGGGGAAGCCCAUAGGUAUUUGUGGGGGUCACACCAGCCCUUAGUGGGCUGGUGGGACAGCCCACCAAAUCCUAUGCGCCAAGGAAGAAAAAUCAAAGGAAGGAAAAAAAAAGAGGAACAAGUGGGAAGGGGGAAGGACUCCCUCCCACCAAACCAAGUAGGACUCGGUUUGGGGGGGGAGAGUCCUCCCCCCUGGCUCGGCCGACCCCUUGGGGUUCCCUUGGACCCCAACGCAAGGUCCCCCUCCCUCCUCCUAUAUAUAUGGGGCUUUUAGGGCAGAUUUGAGACGACUUUCUCACGGCUGCCCGACCACAUACCUCCAUAGUUUUUCCUCUAGAUCGUGUUUCCGCGGAGCUCGGGCGGAGCCCUGCUGAGACAAGAUCAUCACCAACCUCCGGAGCACCUUCACGCUGCCGGAGAACUCUUCUACCUCUCCGUCUCUCUUGCUGGAUCAAGAAGGCCGANNNNNNNNNNNNNNNNNNNNNNNNNNNNNNNNNNNNNNNNNNNNNNNNNNNNNNNNNNNNNNNNNNNNNNNNNNNNNNNNNNNNNNNNNNNNNNNNNNNNNNNNNNNNNNNNNNNNNNNNNNNNNNNNNNNNNNUGCUGAACGCGGAGGUGCCGUCCGUUCGGUACUAGAUCGUGGGACUGAUCGCGGGAUUGUUCGCGGGGCGGAUCGAGGGACGUGAGGACGUUCCACUACAUCAACCGCGUUCACUAACGCUUCUGCUGUACGAUCUACAAGGGUACGUAGAUCACUCAUCCCCUCUCGUAGAUGGACAUCACCAUGAUAGGUCUUCGUGCGCGUAGGAAAAUUUUUGUUUCCCAUGCGACGUUCCCCAACAGUGGCAUCAUGAGCUAGGUUCAUGCGUAGAUGUCUUUUCGAGUAGAACACAAAAGGUUUUGUGGUCGGUGAUGUGCGUUUUGCUGCCCUCCUUAGUCUUUUCUUGAUUCCGCGGUAUUGUUGGAUUGAAGCGGCUUGGACCGACAUUACUCGUACGCUUACGAGAGACUGGUUUCAUCGUUACGAGUAACCCCCUUUGCUCAAAGAUGACCGGCAAGUGACGGUUUCUCCAACUUUAGUUGAAUCGGAUUUGACCGAGGAGGUCCUUGGAUGAGGUUAAAUAGCAACUCAUAUAUCUCCAUUGUGGUGUUUGCGUAAGUAAGAUGCGAUCNNNNNNNNNNNNNNNNNNNNNNNNNNNNNNNNNNNNNNNNNNNNNNNNNNNNNNNNNNNNNNNNNNNNNNNNNNNNNNNNNNNNNNNNNNNNNNNNNNNNCAGUAACAAAGCAAAGUAAAAGUGAAAGUGGAAACGAUAGGUGUGAAUAGACCCGGGGGGCGUAGUGUUUACUAGUGGCUUCUCUCAUGAAAUUAAGUAGACGGUGGGUGAACAAAUUACUGUCGAGCAAUUGAUAGAACCGCGCAAAGUCGUGACGUCAUAUAUGGCAAUGAUUAUAUCUAUAGGCAUCAUGUCCAAAUCAAGUAGACCGAUACUUUCUGCAUCUACUACUAUUACUCCACACGCCGACCGCUAUCUAGCAUGCAUCUAGUGUAUUAAGUCCAAAAGAACACAAUAACACCUUAAGCAAGAUGACAUGAUGUAGAUGGAAAAUCUCAUAUCUACGACAGAGCCCACCUUGUUACCCUUGAUGGCAACUACACAAUGUGUGCCUUGCUGCCCCUACUGUCACUGGGAAAGGUCACCACAUGGUAAGAACCGAAAACCAAGCACUUCUCCCAUUGCAAGAAUCAUAGAUCUAGUUGGCCAAACAAAACCCAAGACUCGUAGAGACUUACAAGGAUAUCAAAUCAUGCAUAUAAGAAAUCAACAAAUACUCAAAUAUAUAUCAUAGAUAAUCUGAUCACAAAUCCACAAUUCAUCGGAUCUCGACAAACACACCGCCAAAGAAGAUUACAUCAGAUAGAUCUCCAUGAAGAUCAUGGAGAACUUUGUAUUGAAGAUCCAAGAGAGAGAAGAAGCCAUCUAGCUACUAACUACGGACCCGUAGGUCUGAAGUGAACUACUCACGAGUCAUUGGAGGGGCGAUAAUGAUGAAGAAGAAGCCCUCCAACUCCAAAGUCCCCUCCGGCAGGGCACCGGGAAGGGUCUCCAGAUGAGAUGUCGCGGAAACGGAACCUUGCGGCGGCAGAAAAGUAUUUUUGUGGAUCCCUUGAUUUUUUUUCUGAUUUUUAGGGAAUAUAUAGGCGCAAGAUCUAGGUCAGGGGGGCGCUAGGGAGGCCACAAGCCUGCCCACCACCGCCCCUGGUGGCGGAGUGGGGGCUUGUGGGCUCCCUGUAGCCUUCCUGGCUUGGCUCACAAGCCCCCUGAUCUUCUUCCGUUCGGGAAAAAUCAUUUCGGGGAUUUUAUUCCAUUUGGACUUCGUUCCAAAAUCAGAUCUGAAAAGAGCCAAAAACACAGAAAAAAAACAGGAACUGGCACUUGGCACUGAAUUAAUAAGUUAGUCCCAGAAAAGAUAUAAAAGGUACAUAAAACAUCCAAAGAUGACAAGAUAACAUCAUGAAACCAUCAAAAAUUAUAGAUACGUUUGAGACGUAUCAAGCAUCCCCAAGCUUAACUCCUGCUCGUCCUCGAGUAGGGAAGUGAUAAAGAAUGAAUUUUUGAUGCUUUCAUGCUACCUAGCAUAGAAGCCCUUUGUAACUCCUCUUAUGUGAUGUGAAUGUUCAGAUCCAUUAGAUUCAAAACAAUAGUUUGCUAUUGACGUGGAAACAAUAAUAAUUCAAGCAAACUAGCAAGGUAAUCAUGAACUUUCAAAAUAACAAGGCCAAAAGAAAGUUAUCCCUACAAAAGCAUAUAGUCUGGCUAUGCUCUAUCAUCAUUGCACAACGAAUUUAAAUCAUGCACAACCCCGGUAUUGGCCAAGUAAUUGGUUCACACCUUUACUUUCUCAAACCUUUUCAACUCUCACGCAAUACAUGAGCGUGAGCCAUGGUUAUAGCACUAUAGAUGGUGUGGAGUGUGGUGGAGGUUGCAAGACAAAACAAGGAGAAGAUGGUAACAUUAACUAGGCAUAUCAAUGAGUUGUGGAGAUUCUCAUCAAUAUAUAUCAAUGUGAAUGAGUAGGGAUUGCCAUACAAAUGAUGCACUAGAGCUAAGAGUAUGUGAAAGCUCUUAAAGAAAACUAGUGGGUGUGCAUCCAACUUGCUUGCUCACGAAGACCUAAGGCAAUUUUGAGGAAGCCUAUCAUUGGAAUAUACAAGCCAAGUUAUAUAAUGAAAAUUUCCCACUAGCUAUAUGGUGGUGACAAAACGAGAGACUCUCAAUCAUGAAGAUCAUGGUGCUUAAUAUGCACAAGUGUGGAAAAAGUGGUAGCAUUGUCCCUUAUCUCUUUUUCUCUCAUUUUUUUUGGUGGGCUCUUUGGCCUCUUUUAUUUAUUUAUUUUUUAUUUUGGUGGGCUUAUUUGGCCUAUUUUAUUUCCUCACAUUGGACAAUGCUCCAUCAAUGAUGAUCAUCACACUUUCAACUCAAAACUUAGAGCAACAUGACUCUAUAUGGAAUGCCUUCGGUAGUGUACCGUGGCAAUGAUCUAGCAUGGCAUAGACAUUAAUGAAAACAUCAUGCUAGCUAUCUUACGAUCAUGCAAUGGAAAUGUAGACGUGAUGGCACAUGUCAUGGUGGUAGUUGCAUGGCAAUAUAUCUCGGAAUGACUUUGAAAAAUCCAUAGUAGGUAGGUAUGGUGGCUGUUUUGAGGGAGGCUAAUGGUGGGUUUUGUGCACCAGCGAAAGUUGCACGGCACUAAGAAGAUAGUGAUGGUGGAAGGUAAAAGUGCAUCUAAACCAUGGACUCAACAUUAGUCAUGAAGAACUCAUAUACUUGUUGCAAAAGUUUUAUUAGUAAUCGAAACAAAGCAUUCAACGCAUACUCCUAGGGGAAGGGUUGGUAGGUAUAAACCAUCGCACGAUCCGACCGCCACACAAAGGAUGACAAUCAAUAGACUAAUCAUGCUCAGAUUUCAUCACAUAGCGGUUCACCAUACGUGCAUGCUACGGGAAUUACUAACUUCAACACAAGUAUUUCUAGAUCCACAACACCUUACUAGCAUAACUUCAAUAUUACCAAAACCACAACUCAAAACUAAUUGAGAUGAAUCAAACUUCUCUAACUAUUCNNNNNNNNNNNNNNNNNNNNNNNNNNNNNNNNNNNNNNNNNNNNNNNNNNNNNNNNNNNNNNNNNNNNNNNNNNNNNNNNNNNNNNNNNNNNNNNNNNNNUUCUUGGGCUGUCCCACCAGCCCACUAAGGGCUGGUGUGCCACCCCCAAGGCCUAUGGGCUUCCCCGGGGUGGAUUGCCCCCCCGGUGAACUCCCGGAACCCAUUCGUCAUUCCCGGUACAUUUCCGGUAACUCCGAAAACCUUCCGGUAAUCAAAUGAGGUCAUCCUAUAUAUCAAUCUUCAUUUCCGGGCCAUUCCGGAAACCCUCGUGACGUCCGUGAUCUCAUCCGGGACUCCGAACAACAUUCAGUAACCAACCAUAUAACUCAAAUACGCAUAAAACAACGUCGAACCUUAAGUGUGCAGACCCUGCGGGUUCGAGAACUAUGUAGACAUGACCCUAGAGACUCCUCGGUAAAUAUCCAAUAGCGGGACCUGGAUGCCCAUAUUGGAUCCUACAUAUUAUACGAAGAUCUUAUCGUUUGAACCUCAGUGCCAAGGAUUCAUACAAUCCCGUAUGUCAUUCCCUUUGUCCUUCGGUAUGUUACUUGCCCGAGAUUCGAUCGUCAGUAUCCGCAUACCUAUUUCAAUCUCGUUUACCGGCAAGUCUCUUUACUCGUUCCGUAAUACAAGAUCCCGCAACUUACACUAAGUUACAUUGCUUGCAAGGCUUGUGUGUGAUGUUGCAUUACCGAGUGGGCCCCGAGAUACCUCUCCGUCACACGGAGUGACAAAUCCCAGUCUUGAUCCACACUAACUCAACUAGCACCUUCGGAGAUACCUGUAGAGCAUCUUUAUAGUCACCUAGUUACGUUGCGACGUUUGAUACACACAAAGCAUUCCUCCGGUGUCAGUAAGUUAUAUGAUCUCAUGGUCAUAGGAAUAAAUACUUGACACGCAGAAAACAGUAGCAACAAAAUGACACGAACAACNNNNNNNNNNUCAGUCUUGAUCCAUACUAACUCAACGAACACCUUCGGAGAUACUUGUAGAGCAUCUUUAUAGUCACCCAGUUACGUUGCGACGUUUGAUACACAUAAAGUAUUCCUCCGGUGUUAGUGUGUUAUAUGAUCUCAUGGUCAUAGGAACAAAUACUUGACACGCAGAAAACAGUAGCAACAAAAUGACACGAUCAACAUGCUACGUCUAUUAGUUUGGGUCUAGUCCAUCACGUGAUUCUCCUAAUGACGUGAUCCAGUUAUCAAGCAACAACACCUUGUUCAUAAUCAGAAGACACUGACUAUCAUUGAUCAACUGGCUAGCCAACUAGAGGCAUGCUAGGGACGGUGUUUUGUCUAUGUAUCCACACAUGUAAAUGAGUCUUCAUUCAAUACAAUUAUAGCAUGGAUAAUAAAUGAUUAUCUUGAUACAGGAAUUAUAAUAAUAACUAUAUUUAUUAUUGCCUCUAGGGCAUAAUUCCAACAUGAAAUGUGAAUGGAGUGCUUCACUUACCUCUACGACACUAGAACCAGCCGCCGUCGACGAGUUCGACGACGGGACGCUCGGCGUCCGCAUCUUCUCCUCCCGCUCAGGCCUCUCCCACGGUGGUUGUUGAUCUGUUCUUCACAAGCUCUCCCACUCUCUGUUUAUUUGUGCAAGUGAGCUCGAGGAGGACGAAGGGGUAAGGGAGCAGUGAACAUAGGGGCAAAAAUGUCCAAAACCUAGUCAUGUAGGUAGUCGAUUAAUGAGAAAGCAUGUGUUUCAUAAAGGGUACAAGUGUCUUCAUAAAGGAGCGACUGGGCAUGAGAGGUCGUCACCGUCGUGAGAAGUUUCUGCAACAAUACCUACGUUGUAGAAGUUCCCGCAACACCAACUUUGUUGCGGCGGUGGAAGACGUAGCACGUCCGCACGAUGAUGCUAUAUCCAACGACUCGUAAUCGGGCCGAUCUUUUAAAAAGAUCGUCCGAUGAACGCGUAGCACUGCCCAUUGUUUAUACAAAGAAGAAAAUAAAUCUACUGCUUUCGUUUCACUUGUAUACCAUGGCAAAGUCCGCAAGGGCACGACCGACGCCUCUCCACCGCGGCAUCUCGACAUCAUGAUAUGAGAGAUACUCGUCCGCCUGCCCCCCAAAGCCCUGCUUCUCUGUCGUGCCUUUUGCCGCACCUGGCACCGUGCCACCUUAGGCCGCGGCUUCCUCCUGGCCCGCCAUGGCCGCCAGCCCUCCCUCCCCAUCCUCUGCGGCCACGAUGCACACCCCGAUGCGGCCAAAACAUUCUCAUCAAACACCAUAUCACGAGAGAUAUAUAUGCGGUUAGAGGGAACAUGAAGACAUUUGUACCCUUUAUGAAGAGAACUAUAGCCAAGAAACAUGCACUGUUUAGAUCGAAAUCCAAAUUUGCGUUGAUUGUAUGGACGAAGAUGUGGCCAACAAGCACACCUAAAAACUUUGAAGAACGUAUAAUCAGGGAUUUCAUUCAACAAAAGUUCAAGAGGUGUUUUCAUGUGACAGAGUCGNNNNNNNNNNNNNNNNNNNNNNNNNNNNNNNNNNNNNNNNNNNNNNNNNNNNNNNNNNNNNNNNNNNNNNNNNNNNNNNNNNNNNNNNNNNNNNNNNNNNUUAGUGAACGCGGUUGAUGUAGUGGAACGUCCUCACGUCCCUCGAUCCGCCCCGCGNNNNNNNNNNNNNNNNNNNNNNNNNNNNNNNNNNNNNNNNNNNNNNNNNNNNNAGUUCUCCGGCAGCGUGAAGGUGCUCCGGAGGUUGGUGAUGAUCUUGUCUCAGCAGGGCUCCGCCCGAGCUCCGCGGAAACACGAUCUAGAGGAAAAACUAUGGAGGUAUGUGGUCGGGCAGCCGUGAGAAAGUCGUCUCAAAUCUGCCCUAAAAGCCCCAUAUAUAUAGGAGGAGGGAGGGGGACCUUGCGUUGGGGUCCAAGGGAACCCCAAGGGGUCGGCCGAGCCAGGGGGGAGGACUCUCCCCCCCCAAACCGAGUCCUACUUGGUUUGGUGGGAGGGAGUCCUUCCCCCUUCCCACUUCUUCCUCUUUUUUUUUUCCUUCCUUUGAUUUUUCUUCCUUGGCGCAUAGGAUUUGGNNNNNNNNNNGUUCCUCUUUUUUUUUCCUUCCUUUGAUUUUUCUUCCUUGGCGCAUAGGAUUUGGUGGGCUGUCCCACCAGCCCACUAAGGGCUGGUGUGACCCCCACAAAUACCUAUGGGCUUCCCCGGAGUGGGUUGCCCCCCUCCGGUGAACUCCCGGAACCCAUUCGUCAUUCCCGGUACAUUCCCGGUAACUCCGAAAACCUUCCGNNNNNNNNNNNNNNNNNNNNNNNNNNNNNNNNNNNNNNNNNNNNNNNNNNNNNNNNNNNNNNNNNNNNNNNNNNNNNNNNNNNNNNNNNNNNNNNNNNNNUUUAUUAAAAUUCUUUUUGCAUAUUUGAGAAUUUGACAAAACUAUGAAAAUGAAAAGUGUUUGAAAUUUAGUACAUUCCAUACAUGCAUUCAUAAAAGGUUUAAUACAUUAUUACAUUAUUGCACCAAUAUUCCUAUCUAUUAUUUCUGUUUUCUUCUGGGUCGUAGCCAUGGAGAAUCUUCAUCAUUCAGUAGGAUGCUUGGGUCAGUUUUCACUUUGAAGGGCGGAAUUUCAUGAAACUUAUUAUAAUCUACUAACAUGUGUGUCAUGUCAUCUACUCCCACGAUGUUUCUUUUUCCUGAAAGAACUAUGUGGCGUUUUGGCUCAUGGGACGAUAUCUUCUUUUGCUGAUUUCCUUUUCUCGUUUUUGUAGACAUGUCCUUCACAUAGAAAACCUGAGCGACAUCAUUGGCUAGGACAAAUGGUUCGUCCAUGUACGCAAGAUUGUUGAGAUCCAUUGUUGUCAUGCCGUACUUUUGGUCUACAACUACCCCGCCUCCUGUCAGCUUCACCCAUUUGCACCGAAAUAAAGGGAUCUUAAAAGUACGUCCAUAGUCAAGUUCCCAUAUCUCCUCUAUGUACCCGUAAUAUGUUUCCAAACAGUGCCCAUUCUCAUCUGUUGCAUCAAAGCGGACACCACUAUUUUGGUUGGUGCUCUUUUUAUCUUGGGCAACCAUGUAAAAUGUAUUCACAUUUAUCUCAUACCCUUGGAAAGUACAUAUAGUCGAAGAUGGUGGCCUGGCCAAACAGUACAGUUAAUCUCCAACGGUGUCGUCAUUCAUGAGAUGUGUCUGCAACCAACUGCCGAAAGUCUUCUCGUGUUCCCCUUUAAUCCAAGAGUCAGCCUUCCCCGGGUUUUCGGAGCGUAGAAUAUUCUUGUGUCUCACGAUAUACGGAGCCACCACGGUGGAAUUGUGCAGAACUGUGUAAUGUGCUUGAGAGAAAGAAUGCCCGUCCAUACAUACUUUUGCUUUCCUUCCUAGUGUGCCUUUUCCUGUCAGCCUACCCUCAUACCGAGAUUCAGGAACACCAAUCGGCUUAAGGUCAGGAAGAAAGUCCACACAAAACUCAAUGACCUCCUCUGUUCCAUAGCCCUUGGAGAUGCUUCCUUCUGGCCUAGCACGGUUACGAACAUAUUUCUUUAAGACUCCCAUGAACCUCUCGAAGGGGAAUAUAUUGUGUAGAAACACANNNNNNNNNNNNNNNNNNNNNNNNNNNNNNNNNNNNNNNNNNNNNNNNNNNNNNNNNNNNNNNNNNNNNNNNNNNNNNNNNNNNNNNNNNNNNNNNNNNNACUUUCACGAGGUGGGAGAAGAGUAUAUAUAGUGGGGAGUGAAAUACACUCGUUGGGGAGACAUUAAGUCACACAGGGUCCGGACAUCGGACAGUUGCCGGAAGUCCGGGCGUCCGCGAGGGGUCGGACGUCCGACAAGGGUCGGUCGUCCAAGGCUUCUAGAUACGACUGAACUAUUUUGAAUUGAACAGCGACCGGACGUCCGGAGAGGACCGGAAAUCCGAGUUAUACGACUCAACUUCUUCUGGUGGUAGGUUCCGGAUUUCUGAAGGUGGUCGGACGUCCGGCCCUCAGACGUCCGGAGGGAGCCGGAAAUCCGAGUUAUAGAACUCAACUUCUACUGGUGCAGGGCUCCGGACUUCCGGGGCUGGUCGGACGUCCGGCCCUCGGAUGUCCGGAGGGAGCCGGAUUUCCGAGUCAUAUGACUCACAAACUUCUGGUGAAGGGCUGCGGAUUUCCGAAGCCUGUCGGUCGUCCGGCCCUCGGACGUCGGGAGGGAGCCGGAGGUCCGAGGCAAUAGACCUGUUUUGAUAUAAGAACAGAGUGGAGAAUAUGUGGUAUUGGGUAUGAGAGUAAAGAUGUGGUAUGAGCAAGUUCAUCGCAAAACCUGUGAUCCCCUCUUAAUAGUGCGGGAUCCCUAUACUCAAUAUUAGUAAACUCAAAAUACUAGUCUACAUCAUCUUUUCUUAAUCCCGAGCCUUCUCGAAAUAUAAAUCCCCAAUCUUCUCAGACAACCUUUGGCACAUAAUUCUCAAUCUACUAAAGUACUUGCCAUCCUGAGAUACACUCAACAAAUAGGUUUAGUUUCCUAUGUAUGUAUNNNNNNNNNNNNNNNNNNNNNNNNNNNNNNNNNNNNNNNNNNNNNNNNNNNNNNNNNNNNNNNNNNNNNNNNNNNNNNNNNNNNNNNNNNNNNNNNNNNNAAAAAGGAGAAGAAAGGAAGAAAAAGGGAAGAAAAGAAGAAAAAGAAAAAGAUUUUUUUGUCAUUUAAUUCCUAUUGUUAUUAGGUUUGUGCUAGAUUAUUAGGGUUAGUAAUAUUUAGAAUUAGGUUAGGGUUACAAGAAGAAGAAAGAUGAACAAAAAUAAGAAAAUAAGAUUAGGAAAAAGGAAAAUAAGAAGAGGAGGAGAAGAAAAGAAGAAAAAGGAGAAUAAGAAGAGGAGGAGAGGAGAAGAAGAGGAAAAAUAGAAGAAGAGGAGAAGUAGAAGAAGAGAAGUUGAAGAAGAAUCGGAGAAGAAAAUAAGAAAUAAGAAGAAGAAGAUGAUGAAGAAGAAGACAUUCUACGUAUAUAGAUGCUUAAUUAGUGUUUCUUAGAUUAUUGCUUAACUUUGCUAUUGUAUAUGCUUAAGUGUUAAUAGUUUAAUUUUGCUAUUGUAUAUGCUUAAGUGUUAAUAGUUUAAUUUUGCUAUUGUAUAUGCUUAAGUGUUAAUAGUUUAAUUUUGCUAUUGUAUAUGCUUAAGUGUUAAUAGUNNNNNNNNNNNNNNNNNNNNNNNNNNNNNNNNNNNNNNNNNNNNNNNNNNNNNNNNNNNNNNNNNNNNNNNNNNNNNNNNNNNNNNNNNNNNNNNNNNNNUGACACGGUGACGUACCACCUCCGCGGUGUCCGGAAGCCUCGGCACCGUCACUGACCCACGCGACCGCCACCAAACAAGGAUCGGGUCAACAACGGGCUGGCUCCUCACCAACCUACGCCCCCCGGAAGGUAGCACCUCCCAAUACCAGCCGGGCGGAGCCCAGUCCUGGUCAUGGCCCCUCUGAUCAAGCAGGUGUCCUCCGCCGAGUCGACGACGAGGAUGCGGGAUAGGCAUCGUAAAAUGAACUAACAUAUAUACUAGUUUUAUUAAUUUUCUUUCUAAAAAUAAAUUAUUAACACUUAAGCAUAUACAAUAGCAAAAUUAAACUAUUAACACUUAAGCAUAUACAAUAGCAAAGUUAAGCAAUAAUCUAAGAAACACUAAUUAAGCAUCUAUAUACGUAGAAUGUCUUCUUCUUCAUCAUCUUCUUCUUCUUAUUUCUUAUUUUCUUCUCCGAUUCUUCUUCAACUUCUCUUCUUCUACUUCUCCUCUUCUUCUAUUUUUCCUCUUCUUCUCCUCUCCUCCUCUUCUUAUUCUCCUUUUUCUUCUUUUCUUCUCGUUUUUCUUCUUUUCUUCUCGUUUUUCUUCUUUUCUUCUACCGGCCGAAGUGUUGGGGAGGGGGCGGGGGCUUACCGGCCGUAGGCGUCGACGACGGCGAGGAGGACGGCAGGCGGAGGCGAGGAGGACGGCGGCGGUGAGGAGGAUGACGGCGACGGCGAGGAGGACGGCAGACUGCGGCGAGGAGGACGAUGGGCAGCCUCACGGCGUCGUCGAGUUCGUCGGUGUGCCGCGCCGGGCAGGAGAACGAGGAAGAAGGAGAGAACGAAAUGCGAUUUGGGUUGGAAAUUUUCUAACUCCCGCUUAUAUAGGUGGACCUUUAGUCCCGGUUCGGGGCUGGAACUGGGACUAAAGACACCCUUUAGUCCCGGGUGGAGCCACGGCCUGGGACUAAAGGCCCUUUUUUGGCAGACCAAAAGGCGGGAAGCAGGGGCCUUUAGUCUCGGGUCGGGGCUCGAGCCGGGACUAAAGACACCCUUUAGUCCCGGGUCGUGGCUCCACCCGGGACUAAAGCCCCUCCGCUGGCUGCACUAUAAGUUUAGUCCCACCUCGCCCAGCGAGGGGGACUAACACUAGUUUAUAAGCCCCGUCGCAGCAUCUCCAUCGAGCUCCUCUCUAAAGCAGGCUUACGGGCCUAAAGUGACUGUAAAUUUAAAAAUUGAAACUAUAUUUGAAAUUAUGGAGAAAAUUAAGCCUAAAUUCAAAGUGAGGUCACUUUGAAUUUAUGUUUAAUUUUCUUUAUAAAUUCUCAUAUAGUUCAAUUUUUUUCUAUUUUCAAAAUUAACUAGUUUGUUAUUUUCAAUUAAAAACUAUGUUUAUUAAAAUUCUUUUUGCANNNNNNNNNNNNNNNNNNNNNNNNNNNNNNNNNNNNNNNNNNNNNNNNNNNNNNNNNNNNNNNNNNNNNNNNNNNNNNNNNNNNNNNNNNNNNNNNNNNNUUUUGUGUUUGUGCACGCACUUGUGAUACUCCUUCACUGGAUCGAUACCUUGGUUCUCAAAACUGAGGGAAAUACUUACCACCGCUGCGCUACAUCACCCUUUCCGCUUCGAGAGAACACCAACGCAAGGAUCCAAGGCCACGGGGGAAAUCCUUUGCAUAUUUUCCUAGGAAGUCCCUUAAGGCCUAGCUGUAGGAGAAGGAUUCCUGGUGCCGUCGACACACCUAUUUCUGGCGCCGUUGGAAGGUCUUUUGUUGCAGUAGCAAUGGUGGUGAUGAAGAUGUUGAUGGAGAUGACUCCCCUCCGACGAGAGGAGUGUUGGUGAUGACGAUGGCGACUAUUUCCCCCUCCGGGAGGGAAGUGUCCCCGGCAGGAUCGUCCUGCCGGAGCUCUAGAUUGGAUCUGCUCAAGUUCCGCCUCGUGGCGGCGGCGAAUCCAUGAAAAAGCUCCACCCUGAUUUUUUUUCCGGACGAAACCCUUCAUAUAGCAGAAGAGGGGGCCAGUGGGCAACCAGGGUGCCCACAAGCCCUGUUGCCACGACCACGUGGGUAGGUCGCGGCAACCAGGCUUGUGGGCCCCUGGUUGCUCCCCUGUGACACUUCUUUCGCCCAUUAUUUUUUAUAUAUUCCCCAAAAAAUCCAUGUUGAUUUUCAAGGCAUUUGGAGUUGCGCAGAAUAGAGGACUCAGACUUGCUCCUUUUCCAGUCCAGAAUUCCAGCUGCCUGUAUUCUCCCUCUUCAAGUAAACCUUGCAAAAUAAGAGAGAAAAGGCAUAAGUAAGGUUCCAUAAAGUAUAAUAAUAGUCCAUAAAGCGAUAAAUAUCAACAUGAAAGCAUGAUGCAAAAUGGACGUAUCAGUGUCGUGGUUGCAAAUAAUGCACAAACCAUGUCAUGCAAUCUGGAAAUCACUGUUAUUGAGAGACCUAGAUCACAAAAUAAUUCAAAUCCCACUGGUUCAAGGCCCUCUGGUUCUAAAGCAUCUGCAAAAUCUAGGAGUAAUACAAGGGCAACAAGUAGCAGUUGUAGGCCACCUACAACUCCAAGUGCAAAUGCUCACUCUGAGCAUUCUUGCAGUAAAACCAAAGCUAAACUAGCAUACCAGUUGAUCCUGUUGUGGAGGAAGCAGAGCCCGAUGCAGCACUUUUUCUGAUGAAGAAGAUGAGAAACUUUAUCCACGCUAUGCUCAGCACAACAAUGAGGAAGAUCAUGUAGAUGAGGAGUACAUUCCUACUGAAUUCUCAGAUACAUAUGAAGACGAGAAGUAGGAGGACCUAGAUAAUGGAGUAUUUGAAACUGAAGAUGAGGACAAACCUAUUAUAAUGUAUGACAAAGAUAAUCCCUCUAUUGGGGAAGGUGUAGUUUUUUUCCUUCAGUUGUUGACGGCAGAAAUGCAGUUGCAACUUUCUCAAUUAGCACCGAAACAGAGUACAUUUGUGAAAUGUGCCACUGAUAGAUGUAAGUGGAGGUUGCAUGCCUCUUUAAUGAGGAGAAGCACAUUAUUUCAGGUACUAAUGCAUUCAAAAUUUAUGUUGCAUUUACUAAUUGUUUAUUCUUUUUUAGCAGAUUAAGGUCAACCCUUACCCUCACAACUGUCCUAGUGUUAACAGAUCUCAGAGAUUGAGGGCUUCAAAGAGAAGAUGGAUAGCAGAUGCUUCUAUGGAUUGGAUUAGAAAUAAUCCAUGCAUAGUUCCAAAGGAAAUUCAGCACAGGUUGACAGAGAAGUAUGGAGUGGAGGUGCCAUAUAGUAGGUGUUAUUUUGGUAAAGAAAUGGCACUAGGCAAGAUGUUUGGCAAGUACAGUGAUACUUUCAAUCUGCUUUAUUCAAGGCUGAAGUUGAGAGAACGUCACUAUGUAGUGUAGUUGAAAUUGACAAGCACAUUGUGUAAUACUCAUUGAGAGGAAAUAAACUGCACAUGGAGUGUUUCAGAAGAGUGUUUGUGUGCUUCAAGGCAUGUCAGAAAGUUUCUUGGAGGGGUGCAGGCCUUACCUUGCUGUGGAUGCAACUGCACUGAAUGGUAGGUACAAGGGCCAGCUUGUUUCUGCUUGCGCCCUUGAUGCACAAAACUAGUUAUUACCAGUUGCAUAUGGUGUCAUAGAAGUAGAGUGAAUUGAGAGCUGGAAUUGGUUCUUCCAACAACUAAAGAAACAAAUAGGACAUCCUGAAGGUUUAGUCAUACAUACAGAUGCAUGCAAAGGAUUGGAGACAACUAUUGAUGAAGUAUAUGCUGGAGUGGAGCACAGGGAGUGUAUGAGGCAUUUGGCUCAAAACUUCACAAAGAAAUUUAAAGGCAAGUUCUAUGAUGAAAAUUUGUGGCCAUGCUCACUUACAUACAACAUUAAGAAACACAACUAUCAUCUGAUUCACUUGCGCAGCAGGCCCAAAGUUAAAGAAUAUUUAGAGGAGCACCACACAAAAAUAUGGGCUAGAGCACACAUCAAUGAUACUUGCAAGGUAAACUAUGUGAACAACAACCUUGCUGAAGCUUUCAACUCAAGGAUCAAGAAAUACAAGGGGCUUCACAUAGUAGACUUGUGUGACAAGAUCAGGCAGUACAUUAUGCAGAAAUUUGAUAUAAGGAACAUGUUUGUCAUUGAUCAUUUUGAAGGUCAUCUCAUUGUUACGUCUGUGAUGAAGGCCUUAAUGGCAAAGACAAAAGGUUUAGAGAUGAGCUUGAUUAGAAGAAGCCCAAGAGAGGCCGAAGUUACUGCUACUUAUAGAGAAAAAAGAGAAUGGAGGUACGGUGUUGACUUACAGUAGUGGUCUUGUUGUUGCAGACAAUGGCAAGUAACUGGUAAGCCAUGUAUCCAUGUUAUGUUCUUUAUCACUUCUCUUAGAGGUGAAGCUAGUGGAAUUGAUCAGUAUGUGCACAAGUUUAAUUCUCUGGAGAAAUUCAGAGCUACUUAUGUUGUCAACCUUCCAUCUCUAGAAGGCAAGCAAUACUGGGAAUUAUGAAUCCAGGAUUUAAACUUUGUGCUCCAGUUCAAAACACAACACCUGGCAGUCCUAGGAGAACUAGAAUUAGGUCCAGUAGUGAAGGAAAAGGACUAGGGACUAGGAAGAAAAAAUGUGGCAGGUGUGGAGGACUAGGACACCAUGCCAACAAGUGAAAAAAUUCAGUUGAUGCAGCUUUUGGUGAAGAUGAACACUAGGGAGCACAAAAUGCAGAAGAGCGAGCACUUUAAGUGGCAGUAGUGGAAGAAUAAGAUGGAACAGAUGCAGAAGAUCCGCCACAAGAGCCACCACAAGCUAGUGUACUCGGGUGAUGUUUAUGUAUCUUUGUGUAUUUAUGUUUUUUCAUGCAUUGUCAUCUAAAAGUUGACAUGCUUGCACUUUUCACAGCCCAAGAAAGAAUUAUAAGAGGGCAGAAGUUAGAGGAGCUUCUCCAGCUAAGAAGCACACGAUAACAAUUGAAGUUCCUGGUGUGCUAGCCCCCAACCCAGCAAAAAACACUAGAAGAAAAUCAAGGCUAGUCCCCAAUCUAGUUGAGAACACCAGGAGCAAAAAACUCAAGUUUUAGUUGUUCAUUUGCACUUGCUGGUGACUGUUUGAGAUGACUUUAUGUUGAACUAGUAUUGUCACUUGUUGUUAAACUACUGUUUGAGGUGUCUUCAUGUUGAGCUAGUAGGUGACUUGAUGAACUAUUGUUGAACUACUAUGGGUGAUGAACUAGUUUGAAGUUGUUGAACUUGUUUGAUCAUAUGUGAUGCUUGCCAUGUCAUGAUUUAAUUUGAAGUUGUUGAACUUUAACCUAUUAUGUCAUCUAUCAAUAUGAACCAAAUAUUUGGUCAUCUCACUAGUCAUAUAUCAAUAUGAACCAAACUGUAGAAAUUUAGAACACCAAAUAGGACAAAAUGGCAUUACAUUAAGAUUGGUACAUUACAAAGUUCAUCUCAUGCACUACAACAAGAGCAAACAUACUUGCUUCAUUUAGUAGCUUGAUUCUCUGAAAACACUAAGAAGGCCACAGCUACAACACAUACAACAAUUCUAGUAAAUAACACUGCACAAACAUUGAGCAUCUCAUCUCUCUCCUUCAGUUUCUUCUUCAAAGCAUGGUUCUUCUUUGUCAGCUCCAUAUUUUCCCUCUACAAUUUCUGAGACUUGAUCCAGCUACGUUCAAUCUGUGCAUGUAGAUCAUCAAAUGCAAGGGCCACACGUAGUUGAGGAGGAGGGUCAACCCAAACCACCCACUUGCACUCAUGUGGCAACUAAUUAGAUGAAAAAAUUAGAAAUUUCAAUAUAACAGCAACCUCUCAAAUUGACAAGAAACUCACUACAUCAAGAGGGCAUCCCAAAAAUCAUCGGCCAACGCUAGCCCCUCCCCAAGCCACACGACGAGCAAGAACUAGGCCAUGUCCACGACAACAGUGCUUAGAUCUAGUAUCCAAGCCAGAAAAUGAUUCGUCCAGGUGAUGGUACUCCGAGACGAGCUCCACCUUCACCAUCCCAUCGAUAUAAAUUAGCAGAAAAUCAAAAAAAAAAUACCCAAAUCAGAGAAACCCUAGAACGAGGGGGUGAAAUGUUGGGGAACGUCGCAUGGGAAACAAAAAUUUUCCUACGCGCACGAAGACCUAUCAUGGUGAUGUCCAUCUACGAGAGGGGAUGAGUGAUCUACGUACCCUUGUAGAUCGUACAGCAGAAGCGUUAGUGAACGCGGUUGAUGUAGUGGAACGUCCUCACGUCCCUCGAUCCGCCCCGCGAACAAUCCCGCGAUCAGUCCCACGAUCUAGUACUGAACGGACGGCACCUCCGCGUUCAGCACACGUACAGCUCGACGAUGAUCUCGGCCUUCUUGAUCCAGCAAGAGAGACGGAGAGGUAGAAGAGUUCUCCGGCAGCGUGACGGCGCUCCGGAGGUUGGUGAUGACCUUGUCUCAGCAGGGCUCCGCCCGAGCUCCGCGGAAACACGAUCUAGAGGAAAAACUAUGGAGGUAUGUGGUCGGGCAGCCGUGAGAAAGUCGUCUCAAAUCUGCCCUAAAAGCCCCAUAUAUAUAGGAGGAGGGAGGGGGACCUUGCGUUGGGGUCCAAGGGAACCCCAAGGGGUCGGCCGAGCCAGGGGGGAGGACUCUCCCCCCCCCCAAACCGAGUCCUACUUGGUUUGGUGGGAGGGAGUCCUUCCCCCUUCCCACUUCUUCCUCUUUUUUUUUUCCUUCCUUUGAUUUUUCUUCCUUGGCGCAUAGGAUUUGGUGGGCUGUCCCACCAGCCCACUAAGGGCUGGUGUGACCCCCACAAAUACCUAUGGGCUUCCCCGGAGUGGGUUGCCCCCCUCCGGUGAACUCCCGGAACCCAUUCGUCAUUCCCGGUACAUUCCCGGUAACUCCGAAAACCUUCCGGUAAUCAAAUGAGGUCAUCCUAUAUAUCAAUCUUCGUUUCCGGACCAUUCCGGAAACCCUCGUGACGUCCGUGAUCUCAUCCGGGACUCCGAACAACAUUCGGUAACCAACCAUAUAACUCAAAUACGCAUAAAACAACGUCGAACCUUAAGUGUGCAGACCCUGCGGGUUCGAGAACUAUGUAGACAUGACCCGAGAGACUCCUCGGUCAAUAUCCAAUAGCGGGACCUGGAUGCCCAUAUUGGAUCCUACAUAUUCUACGAAGAUCUUAUCGUUUGAACCUCAGUGCCAAGGAUUCGUAUAAUCCCGUAUGUCAUUCCCUUUGUCCUUCGGUAUGUUACUUGCCCGAGAUUCGAUCGUCAGUAUCCGCAUACCUAUUUCAAUCUCGUUUACCGGCAAGUCUCUUUACUCGUUCCGUAAUACAAGAUCCCGCAACUUACACUAAGUUACAUUGCUUGCAAGGCUUAUGUGUGAUGUUGUAUUACCGAGUGGGCCCCGAGAUACCUCUCCGUCACACGGAGUGACAAAUCCCAGUCUUGAUCCACACUAACUCAACUAGCACCUUCGGAGAUACCUGUAGAGCAUCUUUAUAGUCACCUAGUUACGUUGCGACGUUUGAUACACACAAAGCAUUCCUCCGGUGUCAGUAAGUUAUAUGAUCUCAUGGUCAUAGGAAUAAAUACUUGACACGCAGAAAACAGUAGCAACAAAAUGACACGAUCAACAUGCUACGUCUAUUAGUUUGGGUCUAGUCCAUCACGUGAUUCUUCCAAUGACGUGAUCCAGUUAUCAAGCAACAACACCUUGUUCAUAAUCAGAAGACACUGACUAUCAUUGAUCAACUGGCUAGCCAACUAGAGGCAUGCUAGGGAUGGUGUUUUGUCUAUGUAUCCACACAUGUAAAUGAGUCUUCAUUCAAUACAAUUAUAGCAUGGAUAAUAAACUAUUAUCUUGAUACAGGAAUUAUAAUAAUAACUCUACAUUUAUUAUUGCCUCUAGGGCAUAAUUCCAACAAAGCAUUCCUCCGGUGUCAGUGAGUUAUAUGAUCUCAUGGGCAUAGGAAUAAAUACUUGACACGCAGAAAACAGUAGCAACAAAAUGACACGAACAACAUGCUACGUCUAUUAGUUUGGGUCUAGUCCAUCACGUGAUUCUCCUAAUGACGUGAUCCAGUUAUCAAGCAACAACACUUUGUUCAUAAUCAGAAGACACUGACUAUCUUUGAUCAACUGACUAGCCAACUAGAGGCUUGCUAGGGACGGUGUUUUGUCUAUGUAUCCACACAUGUAAAUGAGUCUUCAUUCAAUACAAUUAUAGCAUGGAUAAUAAACGAUUAUCUUGAUACAGGAAUUAUAAUAAUAACUAUAUUUAUUAUUGCCUCUAGGGCAUAAUUCCAACAUGAAAUGUGAAUGGAGUGCUUCACUUACCUCUACGACACUAGAACCAGCCGCCGUCGACGAGUUCGACGACGGGACGCUCGGCGUCCGCAUCUUCUCCUCCCGCUCAGGCCUCUCCCACGGUGGUUGUUGAUCUGUUCUUCACAAGCUCUCCCACUCUCUGUUUAUUUGUGCAAGUGAGCUCGAGGAGGACGAAGGGGUAAGGGAGCAGUGAACAUAGGGGCAAAAAUGUCCAAAACCUAGUCAUGUAGGUAGUCGAUUAAUGAGAAAGCAUGUGUUUCAUAAAGGGUACAAGUGUCUUCAUAAAGGAGCGACUGGGCAUGAGAGGUCGUCACCGUCGUGAGAAGUUUCUGCAACAAUACCUACGUUGUAGAAGUUCCCGCAACACCAACUUUGUUGCGGCGGUGGAAGACGUAGCACGUCCGCACGAUGAUGCUAUAUCCAACGACUCGUAAUCGGGCCGAUCUUUUAAAAAGAUCGUCCGAUGAACGCGUAGCACUGCCCAUUGUUUAUACAAAGAAGAAAAUAAAUCUACUGCUUUCGUUUCACUUGUAUACCAUGGCAAAGUCCGCAAGGGCACGACCGACGCCUCUCCACCGCGGCAUCUCGACAUCAUGAUAUGAGAGAUACUCGUCCGCCUGCCCCCCAAAGCCCUGCUUCUCUGUCGUGCCUUUUGCCGCACCUGGCACCGUGCCACCUUAGGCCGCGGCUUCCUCCUGGCCCGCCAUGGCCGCCAGCCCUCCCUCCCCAUCCUCUGCGGCCACGAUGCACACCCCGAUGCGGCCAAAACAUUCUCAUCAAACACCAUAUCACGAGAGAUAUAUAUGCGGUUAGAGGGAACAUGAAGACAUUUGUACCCUUUAUGAAGAGAACUAUAGCCAAGAAACAUGCACUGUUUAGAUCGAAAUCCAAAUUUGCGUUGAUUGUAUGGACGAAGAUGUGGCCAACAAGCACACCUAAAAACUUUGAAGAACGUAUAAUCAGGGAUUUCAUUCAACAAAAGUUCAAGAGGUGUUUUCAUGUGACAGAGUCGUGUAGAUAGUCGAUNNNNNNNNNNNNNNNNNNNNNNNNNNNNNNNNNUGUAGGUAGUUGAUACUGCAACAAAAGACCUUCCAACGGCGCCAGAAACACGUGUUGACGGGAGACUUUUCUUGUCUUGAUUCUCCUCAGCAACGGCACCAGGAAUCCUUCUGCUACGGCUACGCCUUUAGGGACUUCCUAGGCAAAUAUGCAAAGGAUUUCCCCGUGGCCUUGGAGCCUUGCGUUGGUGUUCCCUCGAAGCGGAAAGGGUGAUGUAGCGCAGCGGUGGUAAGUAUUUCCCUCAGUUUUGAGAACCAGGUAUCGAUCCAGUGAAGGAGUAUCACAAGUGCCUGCACAAACACAAAGAACCUACUCCCAACGCUACGAAGGGGUUGUCAAUCCCUUAUAGAUUGUUCAAAAAAUGAGAACUGAAAGCAACAAAGUAACAAAGUAAAGUAAAAGCGAAGGUGUAAACGAUAGAUGUGAAUAGACUCGGGGGCCGUAGUGUUUACUAGUGGCUUCUCUCAUGAAAGCAAGUAGACGGUGGGUGAACAAAUUACCGUCGAGCAAUUGAUAGAACCGCGCAAAGUCAUGACGUCAUCUAUGGCAAUGAUUAUAUCUAUAGGCAUCACGUCCAAAACAAGUAGACCGAUACUUUCUGCAUCUACUACUAUUACUCCACACGUCGACCGCUAUCCAGCAUGCAUCUAGUGUAUUAAGUCCAAAAGAACAGAGUAGCGCCUUAAGCAAGAUGACAUGAUGUAGGUGGACAAUCUCAUAUCAACGGCAGAGCCCACCUUGUUACCCUUGAUGGCAACUACUCAAUGUGUGCCUUGCUGCCCCUACUGUCACUCGGAAAGGUCACCACAUGGUAAGAACCCAAAACCAAGCACUUCUCCCAUUGCAAGAAUCAUAGAUCUAGUUGGCCAAACAAAACCCAAGACUCGGAGAGACUUACAAGGAUAUCAAAUCAUGCAUAUAAGAAAUCAACAAAGACUCAAAUAUAUAUCAUAGAUAAUCUGAUCACAAAUCCACAAUUCAUCGGAUCUCGACAAACACACCGCCAAAGAAGAUUACAUCAGAUAGAUCUCCAUGAAGAUCAUGGAGAACUUUGUAUUGAAGAUCCAAGAGAGAGAAGAAGCCAUCUAGCUACUACCUACGGACCCGUAGGUCUGAAGUGAGCUACUCACGAGUCAUUGGAGGGGCAAUGAUGAUGAUGAUGAAGCCCUCCAACUCCAAAGUCCCCUCCGGCACGGCACCGGGAAGGGUCUCCAGAUGAGAUCUCGCGGAAACGGAAGCUUGCGGCAGCGGAAAAGUAUUUUCGUGGAUCCCUUGAUUUUUUCUCUCUGAUUUUUAGGGAAUAUAUAGGCGCAAGAUCUAGGUCAGGGGGGUGCCACGGAGGCCACAAGCCUGCCCACCGCCGCCUCCCCCUUGGUGGCGGAGUGGGGGCUUGUGGGCUCCCUGUAGCCCUCCUGGUUUGGCCCACAGGCCCCCUGAUCUUAUUCCGUUCGGGAAAAAUCAUUUCGGGGAUUUUAUUCUAUUUGGACUCCAUUCCAAAAUCAGAUCUGAAAAGAGCCAAAAACACAGAAAAAACAGGAACUGACACUUUGCACUGAAUUAAUAAGUUAGUCUCAAAAAAGAUAUAAAAGGUACAUAAAACAUCCAAAGAUGACAAGAUAACAGCAUGAAACCAUCAAAAAUUAUAGAUACGUUUGAGACGUAUCAGUAGUCGAUUUAUGAGGAAGCAUACGGUGGAAAACGCAUCACUCCAAAACCGAAAAGGAACUGAGGCAUGAGCAAGCAAAGCAAGACCAGUCUUAACUAUAUGACGAUGCUUAGACUCGGCUACACCAUUCUGUUGGUGUGUAUGAGGACAAGACACCCGAUGUGUAAUUCCAAGCUUAUUAAAGAAUGUAUUGAGGUUGUGAUACUUACCACCCCAAUCAAACUACACAUGAAUAAUUUUGUGGCUAAGUAGACGCUCAACAUGUGCUUGGAAUUGAAAGAAAACAUUAAACACAUCGGACUUGCGCUUAAGAAGAUAAAGCCAAGUGAACCGGCUAUAAGCAUCAAUGAAACUAACAUAGUAGUUAUGAGUACUAACGGAAGUUUGGGCAUGCCCCAUACAUCGGAAAACACAAGCUCAAGUGGUUUAGUGACUACAUGACUCGACUCAUAAAAAGGAAGCUCAUGACUCUUGCGUUGCUGACAGGCAUCAGAAACUGCAUCAACAUAUUUAUUGGGCACAACUGGGAGGUCAUGACGACGAAGAACGUGGCGAAUGAUGGGACCGGAAGGAUGACCAAGGCGAGCAUGCCAAUGUGAUGGAGACACACGAACACCACUGAAGACACUAGGAGUAGGUGGCACAUCAAGCACAUAGAGACCAUUAUUGCGCAGUCGACCUCUAAGGAGUACGUCCCUCGAGUCCCGAUCCUUACCAAAAAAAUGAAAGGGAUGAAACUGAGCAAGAACAUUAUUGUCACGAGUAAGUUUACCACUGAAGACACUAGGAGUAGGUGGCACAUCAAGCGCAUAGAGACCAUUAUUGCGCAGUCGACCUCUAAGGAGUACGUCCCUCGAGUCCCGAUCCUUACCAAAAAAAUGAAAGGGAUGAAACUCAGCAAGAACAUUAUUGUCACGAGUAAGUUUAGGAACAAAUAAAAAACUACAUGAAAUGGAGGGUACUCGAAGGACAUUAAGAAGGUGUAUUUGUGUGGAUCGACGAGUAAGAAGGGAUGUGUGACCAAUAUGUGAGAUGUGCAUACCUUCCCCGUUUGCAGUAUGAACCUGAUCAUGUCCACGGUACGGGUCCUAUGUCGAGAGCUUUCCCAUAUCGCUCGUCCGGUGGUUGGUAGCUCCCAUAUCAAUGUACCUGGAUGCAUCAACCGGAUAGGAAGGAGUGUGACCAUGCUCAUGACUUGCCAAAGCAGCCUGCUUCUCAUUCCCUUUUCCAUUGUUCCCCGUGCCCAGAAAAUCCUUCUUGAAGCGAUGAUGGCAGCAGGAAGCAAGAUGGCUAUCAAGACCACAAAGCUGGCAGGGAACUUGAGCCCCACACGAAGGACAAAAGGCGCGUACACAACCACCCGUGGUGGUAGUGGUGUUCCUCGGGGCUGAAGUGGCCGGCGGUUUGCCCCAGCUGGCGGCAGCUUGCCCCUGCCGCGCAUGGCGGCGUUGGCAGCAUGUAAGCUCGGUGUAGAUCGGCGAGCCUGGAUGCGCUGCUCCGUAGCAAGAAGUCGCGCGUACAGCUCACGCGGCUGGAUGGGAGUGCCACAACCAUUGAUAUUUUCCACCAAAUUAUCAUAGUCGUCACCCAGUCCGUUCACCACAUACGAGGUGAACUCCUUCGGCCCAAGAACCUUGCCAAUGGAAGCAAGUGUGUCCACCAUGCCCGUCACCUUGUUGAAGUAAUCGCUAACGAUGAGACCAUUAAGCUUCACUUCCCCAAGCGCAGUGCGAAUAGCAUGAGCCUGUGCCUGAGACUGCAAAGAAAAGCUCGCAUGAAGGGCCAUCCAUGCGUCCCGAGAUGUGGCGGCAAAGAUGACCAACGAUGAGAUCCCCUCUGUAAGAGAGAACUGGAUGGCGGAGAGGAUGGCUUGAUCUUGAGCCACCCACGCAUGAUGCCCUGGAUGAUACGGCGGAGGACACGACAGAGUGCCAUCAACAAAGCCCUGCAGGUAGCGACUGCGGAGAAGUGGCAAGACCUGAGCACGCCACGAUAGGUAGUUCUCGGUCAUCACCUUCACGGGUAUGAGUUGCGUGAAGUAGAACGACGCAGCAGGGGCACCCUGAUCCGAAGAUGGCAAAGGGGCAUAGCCGCCCGGGGGUGACACCACAAGAUCCAUCGAUGGACUGUCGUACGGCGCAGCGUACGGUCCAAAAGAUGGCACGACAGCCAAGACAGGUAGAUAGCCAGAGGUCACCGGAGCCGGGGACGUAGGGCGUACUCUGUCAUGGGUUGGCAGGAGCAACGCCAUAGGAGGCAUCCCCGGACGACUUCACGUGUGGAGCACCUGCCGGAAGAUGCUGGUACGCCCACUACGGCGCGCCCGUGGGCGGGGCAGGGCCCCCGUACGCCUGUGGGGCAGGAGCGAAGGUGUAGGGUACCGACGGGUAGGCGGCACGAUAGGCUAUAGCCGCGGGCGGGGCGGGCCCCCCGUAUGCCUGCGAGGCAGGGCGGGAGUGCAUGGUGCCGGUGGGUAGGCCGGACCAAAGGCCGUCAACGGCGGGACAACAUCGGGGUGGCCCGAGUCGGUUAUGAUCUUGGACGGUGGCGGGGCGGCCAUGGAGACGUCGGGCAAAGGAACCAGCGGCCUCGACGCCAAAAAUGGAGAGGUCGGGGCGGCCUGAGUGGCAGGGGCUGCCCAGACAGCACGUGGGGCGCCCGAGCCGGUGGAAAUCACGGCGACGGCGAUGCCCGAUGCAAAAGCCAUGAGGCGGCGGCGGCGGAAGCAAGGAGAACGAUCUAACCUAAUCGGAUACCCUGUAUCCCCUCCGUCCCAAAAUAAGUGUCUUAAGCUUAGUAUAAUUUUGUACUAGAGCUAGUACAAAGUUGAGAUAGUUAUUUUGGGACGGAAGGAGUAAAACAAUGUUUGGUAAGACUGCUCGACUCCCAAUAGAGAUGUGGCUAUUUCAUAUAUAUAUAUAUGGUACACAAGAUACGUGGAUAUACACGGAAACUACACAAAUACAUAGUCUAACAGUUCUUAUAAAAAUCUUAUGUUUAGGAACAGAUGAAUAUUCUAUUCUACUCCCUCAGUACCGUAAUACAUGACAUUUUAGCAGUUCAUUUGAGCUGUUGAAACGUCAUAUAUCUUUACCUAAUAAUAAAGAGGCUAUUGCUUCUGUCGGAAAACCCGUCGCGUCAGUUUUACAGACAAGCCCUCGUGUCUUAUGGUAAUCAACCCGCAGUCCUGUUUUAUGUGACAUAACAUCUCGUUUUUUCAGAAACACCCCCUAUCCAAUCCAGAUCUAGACCGUGUUCAUCCCCUUCCUCUUAUCCACUCGGUCUUGUCGGCAGCGGAAACGACUACGGUGCGGCGGCGCGGGAGGAUGGAGGAUGCCUUGCGGCCUUCCUCUUAUCCACUCCCAGGUGAACCCGUCGAUCGAAUCCACACAACGUCGUGCUCGACGCGAGCGUGCUCUCGCCGAUGCAUGUGACCGAAUCUGGACAGCGCCGCGCUUGACGUGGGUGUGCUCUCGCCGGCGUCGCGGACCGAAUCCGGACAGCGACGCGCUCUACACGGGUUUGCUCUCGUCGGCGCCACAGACCAAAUCCGGGCAGCGCCGCGCUCGAUGCGGGCGUGCUCUCGCCGGCGUCAUGUGUGCUGUCAUAGACGCCCCUGCAUCUCCUCAUUCUUUGGUUUUUGACGGAGAAAAAAUGCAUCUUGGUACCGGUCGGGAGAGCAUGGAGGAGUGCGGCGCUGCUGGUCAGAGUGGCAGCAAAGGAGUACACUGCUUUGGUUCUACUCCUAUGUUGGCCUCUAUGCCCAGGAUUGAAAGGGCUUCAUUGACUUCCUCAGCGAUGUGAGGCGCUUGUGUGGCUGCUCCAUGGCAAGUCUCGUGAGUUGCGAUGCUAGGUAAUCAAUUGUAUGUGUUUUACUAAUGACAUGGUUCAUAAUAAGAUCUGUAACAUAGAGUUCCCGUGUAUACCGAAUACAUUUUUCAAUAAUGGACAAUGCUUUAUCUUCAUUGAUUUUACUGAUUUUUGGUGCUUCUUAUGCUUCUACUCGUUGUGUAGUAAUGUCUAAGAGUUUAUCUAUUGAGUAACCAAUACAAGGUUCAAUGCUUUGGGUGGUGCUUGCCCUUUUUAAGUUGAUUAUUAUGUAUGGCAUGUUUGUUUCACCAUACUCUAAAAUUCACUACUGCCUAGGUUGGGGCUUUGAUUGUGAUCCCAAUACGCUUGUUUUCUCGGCUGCUGAUAGCACAACCUUGCAUGAAUUUCCUUUUGGGACAGUACUUUUGUGUGCUUCAGAUAUAUUUUUCACCAUCUUUGGUUUCCCUUCAGCUGCAUUGUUGAUGAUGAAAGGGUUGCCCAAAAGGUCUUGGACAGUACACUUUGGAGAUUUCUGGGCGUCAAUGAAGUUCUUGUGGGAAUUGUUAUGGAAUACUUUGAAAUUAUCCUACAAAAAAAAGAUCACAUUAAAAUUUUAUUUAUCAUUUUUUGGGAGCACCAAUGCUUAUGUACAAUGAAAACUUGUUAGAUCUUCGUAUACAUUGUAUUUUUAACACCAACUAAUUGUUUCUAUUUUUGGGGUAUCUUGGGAGACAUAACUAUACUUCGAACCUUGGCCAGAUUCUACCACCUCUUGUUUUAAAACUUUCGUGAAAUAAUUUCAUGAACAUGCAAAGAUGGCCAACUUUGCUUUGCAAACAAAGGUAGACAUGAUAAAUAUAUUUAUCCCUCGCUGAACUAUACUGAAUUUUGUGGUAUUUGUUGGAGCUUUUAAAAAGUUAUGCACACCGUUGUAGUGAUAUUUAAGAUAUCAAAUAUGGCCAAAUAAUUCUGCUUCAGCAUACAUACAUGGACUCUUUUCAGAUGGUGUUGUCUUGGCAAAGCUUUACCUGAGAGAUUAUAUUAUUAAUUGUUAUUCAAAACAUUUAGUGUUCAGUUAACAUUAGUUGUGAUCUGAACAUCAAAAGUGUGGGGCGGUUGAGCUGAGAAAUACGUAACAUUAUGUCAAUGAUUAGUGGUUAGACAUUUUUAUUUAUCCUAUUUACAUGUCCACCAUGCUAACCAUAGGUUAUAUGGAACCAAGACCUUUGGGAUGUACAAGAGCAAAUUUCUUAUUUCUAUAACAAAAAUAAUAAUAUGUCAGCUACUUUGUAUCAGGUAUACUUAUUGGUUUCAGUUAUGAUGCACGGUAGUUAAUUCUUUAAAAGUAGAUGGAGAAACAAAAAUUUAACUGAGAACAUGGAUACUUCCUUGGUGUGUCUAUGCAUAUGUCUCUUCGCUGAAACCCUCAAGUGAGUACGAAUCAAAUGAACGAUGGCCCAAGAGCUGAGGUGCAUUUGAAACUGUUAUAUUCCUCUCAAAUUCAGCCAACCGGAGUAUCCUCCUCUCCCUUCUAGAGGUUCUACAGUUCAAUCCUUAUUUUAUUGGAUCUGGUGCAUGCAUUUUAUUGCAUCAGGAUGUGUAAGUAGUUAGUAAGUUUUCUGCUGAUUACCAGGAUCACUGACUUAUGAGAGAACUCUUACUAAUGAAAGUGUAUAUGCAGUGAGUUCUAUAGUUUUCAUAUUAUUAUUUUAUCAAAAGACAGUUGACCAGUUUUUGUUCUGUAAUAAUCGAUCAUACAUUCAUAUAGUUUUGAAGGAUGUGAGAUUUGAUGUUGUCUAUAAGUAUGCAUGCUUGGGACAAAGGUGAAGGAAAUAUUAUGUGAGAUUAGUAGGGUGUAUUUUUACUUGGUGUGUUCAUGUAUAUGAUUUUACUGGUCGUAAAGACUAGAGAUAAACAACAUGAACAUGGUGAUGCUCGGUUGGAUGCAAUGUAGGGAUGUAAAUUGGGUGUGUUUAAUUAUGAUCUAAAAGUUCAGCAAAGUGAAACUCGGAUCAUUACCUGUAUGUACAUCUUUUAGAAUGGUGAGUUGUAUGUUACUCUGUUCCAUGUACAAAUAAUUUUUCUUAGCCUGUUUUCGUUACCAUGACAGUGUUCUCGUAACGUAAUCUCCCGUUGCAACGCACCGACAAUUGUCCUAGUUAUAAUAUAAAGGUAGUACUCCCUCCUUUUCGGUUUAUAGGGUUCAUCUCAAAAUUUUCAGAUUUUCAUUAUAUUAGGCUCAUUUUGAGUCUAAGUGAGUUAAAGUGCUUUGAGUCUCAUGCCAUAUUUAAUUCAUAAAGUUUAAAGAAAGGAGAUGAGUGGCUAUGCAUGCAUCGUUUUCUACAUCCACCAUGCAAGUCUAAUGAAAGGAAGGAUGCUAUACUUAUUGCCUUGGAAAUUGCAUAUGUGAGAAAUAUUGCAUUGGCUAGUUAAAACUAAUGUCUCACAAUUCAUCUUGGUUGAUGAAAUUUCAGAUUUGAGUCCUAUAAACCCGAAAGAAGGGAGUAUUAGAGAAAAAUAGCUUAUCCACGAGCGGCUCUGCGGUUCUAGUAGUACCACGCACGCAGGCGAUAAAUUUGAUGGGGGUAGAAAACUAGGCCAAUAUAUUGUUUCCAACGCGAACGAAACGUGUCGGUUUCCAUCUCGCUGUCGGCGUCACCACUCCCCACCCAAACGGACGGGGAGCGAGCUCUCCUACUCAUACACGAUUGCCCAUACACGAGUACUGUAUCACUAAACUACUCCGCCAGAGGACCUAGCAGACCGUUGUUAUAUGUAUCUCUCUCUCUGACACGUGCGGUCAGAGGCACCCAUGGCUCACUUGUCAGUGACAGGAGCUCGCUGUAGAACGUGUGUCAAGGCGCGUAGUAAAGUAGUCUAUGGAGCACGCCGGUGCCUUUGUUUAACGCCGAUAGAGACGACCUUCGGGGAGGGGGGAAUUUGUCGUGGACGUCCUCCGGCGAUUGGCAAAUCGCAUCAGCGUCUCGGUGAACGGAGGUUGUUGGUUCGUUGGUUGGUUGCUGUUAUCCUUAUCUUCACGUCUGAGCUCACUGCAUCUUCCACGGCCGCCGGGUCAAACAUAGAGUUCCAGUCACAAUAAUUGUAUGCUAAAGAGAAAGAGUUGUUAGGAGGAGAUGCUUUUAACUUUUAAUUUCAUGUCUAAAGUCACUAGUAGGAAGAGAAAAAUAAAUAUAUACUACUCCCUUCGUUCCUAAAUAUAAGACCUUUUAGAAAUUGCACUAUAAACUACAUACGGAUGUAUUUAGACAUAUUUUAAAGUGUAGAUUUAUUCAUUUUGCUCCGUAUGUAGUCUCCUAGUGAAAUCUCUAAAAUGUCUUAUAUUUUGUAACGGAGGGAGUAGUAGGAAAAGAAAAAUAAAUAUAUACUAAUGAUAAGAAUAAGAGCAUAUUCAAUGGCAACGCGUAAAUUUCUUCUCGCAUCCGUUUGCAAACAGGGACCAAUCCAUAGACACGAAUGAGACAUGACGAUGUUCCAACGCUAGCCGCAUAUAUCCGGCCAACAAUUCAUACCAAUAGGAUGAAAUUCAAUCCAUCAAAACAGAUUUCAAUCAAGUUCGUAUAAUUUAACUAAAAAACUAAAAAAACACCUAAACCCUAUACCACACGACCACCUUGCACGCGUGGCCGCCCUACCCUGCUGCACCGUUGUCUUCAUCAGUGUCGUCAUCGUCGUCGUGGUCCCUCCAGCAGCGUAACGACGCCGCGGGGCGUGGCAGCCUUGUCCGGCGGAUGCGUGCCACUCAUGGAGGAGCCGCUCCACCUCCUACUGCGUCAUGCGGAGUGCCGCUGCGACCUUGCCGCGACCGGUGUUGGUUGAGCAGUUGCUAAGCGACCACUCCUUGCCGAUCUUGGCAAGCUCGCCCUCAAGGCGUCGGCGACGCCUGGCGGUCGUCCCCGUGGUGGUGAUAGGUCAAGCGCCCACGCCACGGCGACGUCUGGGUCACUGCAGACUCAUUCUGGCGCACAUCCGUCUUGGCAAACGCGGAGCGGAGGCCAUCAUUGUGCCAGUCGUACCUUUUCUCCUGCCGCGUCAUGCGCUCGGCCUCGGACACCAUGGCCCAAGAGCCGGAGGGAUCACCAAAACCUUCGCCUCUCGGGUAGUGGAGGAUGUGGCCACGAGCCUUGGCGAUCGCGGGCGGCACCGCCUCUUUUAUCUGAGGGCGAUGGCGUCGAGGUGAUGGUGAUGGCCCGUGGAUCCAUGCGUAGCGGUUGCGUUGCGCAGCAAGGACAAUGCCUGCUUCCGUAUCACGCCGCGGAGGCGCUAGGGACGCGAGCUCCUGUUUCACGGAGCUGCCGAUGUGAAGGUUGCUAUUGCGCAGUGAGGAUGUCGGCUCGUCGUUCACCUGCCGGAGUGGGGAUGCCGGCUCGUGCUUAACGUGGACCCGCGGCGGGAACGCUGGCCCCUCCUUCAUGUGUGCCAUUGUUGGUGGCGCUGGUCCCAUCUGAUGGAGCGAACGCUUCGUGAUGAUCUUCAUCCAUUGGACGAAUUCUUCGCCCGUAACCGCCGCCUCGGACAACACACGUGACCGUUGCUACGACUGCUCCUUCUCGUUGUCGGACGAGAUGACUAUCUCCUCCUUGCCGGAAGAACCCGCCGUCGUGGAUGCCGAUGGCCCCGGUGAGCAAGGGUGGCGGCGCCAAUAUCCGCUCGACGAUCUGCUCCCAUCGGUCCCGCUUGCCGGUGUGGAUAACUAGGACUUCGACAUCGCCACUAGUUGGGCUCGAAGAGAAUGUAAAGGUCGAAGAGAAGGAAAGAAUCGGCGAGGGGGUGGAGGACGGUGUGGUUCUUUGGAUGAGCCUGAGAGCGGCUAAAAUAGCUGCGGCCCUGCCAUGCGAUGGGGCGGUCAGCCUGUUUUAAUGCGGCGCAACUGCCGGAGUUGGUUUCUCGGGACGCGGCGUCCGCAUUGAAGUGGCGAUGCCCGAGAGGUCGCGUUCGUCUACACUGCCUUCCCGUACAGUCAAAUCGUGGCUUCAAUGACGACCACUGCAUGUUCUAUGGAGGCAUGAAUAUGGCACGCGGAAGCGACGCGACGCGUGGGAUGGAAAACACGGGAAGGACGGGUGGGUUUUUUUGGUGGGCCAAGGCGAAAGGUUUGAGGGUCGGCGUUGGAGAUGCUCUAAUGAGGUGAUACAUGGGUAAGGACAUUUUUUUGCAAAGAAGACCCACAUCUAUUAUAAAGGUUCAUAAGAAUAAAACCCUAAACAUAAUAAUAAAAAUACAUCGAGGACCUCGUGCCAUCGAACAGCCACUAUCGCCGUCAGAAUGAGCACUAGGCGUCGUUAUCGUUGCAUCCUACUGAAGUCGGCUUGACCUUAUUGAUGAUAGCCAAGAAGUCUAUACGCAUGUGCCCCUAAAGACAAACACCCCUAUCCACAGUUGUUGCCAUAGAACCCUUAAUCGAUUUGAAGCACCUCACACCAAAUUUGACCGAUGCGCACACACGACAAGAAAAGCCUAACCUUGUCGCCUUAAGAAUAUGACAAGAAUAUACAUCGAAGCUCCAUCACUCCGUUCCAAUGGAUGAACUCAAGUAGGAUAGCAGUCCGGAAGACCAAUUCAAAGAUGAAGCACCGCUAUCCGCUAGAACAUCACCCUUGCAAGAAAAAAAAAACCUAAGAUGAACUACUAGUCGGAACCGAGGCACUGAAACCCCCUCCCGGCCAUCGACUGCCUCAGCAACUGGUACAUGGCAGGUGGAUCCACGUGCUCGUCGAAGUUUGAAGGGGAUGAGUACUCUAGCCACCGCAUAUGGGAGAGGGAAANNNNNNNNNNNNNNNNNGCCACCGCAUAUGGGAGCGGGAAAGAGGAACCCUAACGGGAUGUGUUUUUUUGUGGUGUAAAUGGGGAUAAAAAUCUAUUGUUAUUUCUACAAAAAAGAACAGUUUGGGCACUAGAAUGUUUGAUAUUAGAUUAGUUAUUGAUAUACUUGAUGUGUUGGAUGACAUUUACCAAAUCCUUAUGGAUAAGGUGUUUACUUUAGAGGAGACCAAAGUUAUAGUAUUUGAUAUGAAGCAUAAUAAGGCCGCUGGACCUGAGACUAGUUAUCUUCCUAUCUAAUUUGAGUUUCUUGUGCCUAUUUUGCAGUAAGUUUGUUACACCCGAGACUACUGUAUGAUGUAGUUUUACACAUAAUAUUUCCGUUUUCAUACUACUGAGGAGUCAUGUGUGCCUCUCUGGUUUGAGAUUUGGAACCCUUAAGCCUGGAUGCUGUUCAUCGUUUACUUUUCUAUUAUGAAAUGAAAUUGCAGUGACAAGCUCCUCAAAUAAAUAAUAGUAAUAAUUGUAUGCGUGUCACAUCGGAGCCAGUCGAUGCAAAUGUGGAUGAGCCGUAUUAGCCAAUCGAUGUGCAAAUUUUAGAGUGAAUAAGAGCAAGUCAACCAAAUCCUUUAUAUUGCCAAGACACUAAGUUUAUAAUUUUUUUAUUUUAUUUUUGCUUCCAUAUCACUGGGACACACAUAAGGAUCUCUCCAUGAGUGUCAGAGACACCCCAUUUACGAACCUCGAUGCUUCUUCUUCAUGUUUUUCUCUACCUCCAUUCAACUAGCAACAAUGCAACCUCCUCAAAGUCACCAUCUUGGAACAAGUCCUCAUUGCAAUCAUAUGAGGGUGAAGUAUCCUCGAAAUACUCCUGGAUGAGAGAGCUCAUCUACAUAAAUUGUGCAAUCAACACAUAUAUUUUAUAUGAUUAAAACCUAGGAAUUCAAGUUGAAAUGACCUCUUGAGCAAUUCAUCAAAUACCUUGAGUUUGUAUUGCUCUAAGGAAGGAGGGGUUGCACAGAGACUCCAUGAUGCUCCGGCCGGGGUGGAAGCCGACGGCGCAGGAUCAACGCAUACAGUUGAAGUUCUCUCAGACGGCUGGAUGACGAGAGAGAACAAGUUUGCGACAACAAAGGUCUUGUGUAGUGAGAUCCAUCGAUGCAACCAUGGUGGCGGUUGGCCAAGCCGCAACGACAACGACCAUUUGCAAACUACAUGUCGCAUUUUAUUCAGCGGGGAUCCAUGGCGUUGAGUAGAGAUGUAUGGUGACUAUUCGACGGAGAUAAGAAGAAAAAUGGUUGCAUGGCAAGGUGGUCGACAACGGGUGCUUGAAAAGAAGGCAAAACUUUCGUGAUGCUAAAAAAGUGAUGUUAGAGGGGCUUGCGUAUUUCCCCCUCUUUUCACUAUAUUGAGAAGCUAUGUGCAUAAUUUUAAUGGGUCCUCUUAACAUGUUAGAGAAAUAAGGGUUUUAGGAAUAUGCUAGAAUGACAUUUUUAUUAACUUUAGUCUCCUUCCACUCACUAUUAUAAAAUAUUUUGGAUAUUUGAAUAUGAACUACAUACGAACUGAAAUGAAUGAACAUACAAGCUAAAACGUGUCUACAUACAUCUGAUCCUGAAAAAAGAUAAAAACAUCUUAUAAUAGUGACAGAUAGCUCUACUAGUAUUUCUCUGAUUCUCUCAAUCUCCCUUUUCUCUUGACAAUAAGGGGCACCUAGAUCUCUAUUUUGAUGGCGGGAGGUGGAGGAAAGCCUAGUUUGUGUGUGUCGAAUGCCUAGCUAUAUUAGUGAUGUUGCUUGAGGUGCAACACAAUCUUCUCGGUGCCUCUCACUAGGGUUAGGUUUUGGUGUUAUGACGGUGAUAUUCAGAUGUCGGUAGAUGUGUUAUAUCAGAUAAUAGAGCCAAGUUUUUUUUUCCAACUCGACUACGUGUUGGUUUGUUCGUCGACCUAUUGGUCUCGUUGCGAGCAACCUAGUCUUGCAUAUACGUUGUUUUCAUGCGCGACCGAAUGCACAUCAGAUUAUCGGCUUUUGUCAAUGGCUGUCAACACAAAUCGGGGUGUUGCAUCUCUCGAAUCGGGUUUUUUUUCCAUACCCACCGUCCACGGUGGGUAUAUACCGUGGGACCAACAAUGCGGAGUAAAAUAUCUUUGGAUAAUCCAUGAAUCUUUGGAGGUCCCGUUUGCAAAGAGAACACCACCAAGGAGUCUAAACGGAAAAUACCUCCGUGAACAACUUCCUAUAAAGCAACACGAAGUGGAGCCGAAGCAAAGAUAACCCACCCGAAGAAGCAACCAAGAAAAUCCCCCCAAUGGAUCAUCGCCUCGUGGCCCCUCUCCUCCUCCUCGUCGGCCUCCUCCUCUCCCCGGCGCCGGCGACGGCGGCCGCGGGGGACGAGGAGCCCCUGAUCCGGCAGGUCGUGGGCGGCGCCGACCCCCUCGACAACGACCUGGAGCUCGACUCGCAGUUCGUCGGCUUCGUGCAGCGGUUCGGGAAGACGUACCGGGACGCGGAGGAGCACGCGCACCGGCUCUCCGUGUUCAAGGCCAACCUCCGCCGCGCGCGCCGGCACCAGCUGCUCGACCCGUCCGCCGAGCACGGGGUCACCAAGUUCUCCGACCUCACCCCGGCCGAGUUCCGCCGGACCUACCUGGGGCUCAAGACGACCCGGCGAUCCUUCCUGCGGGAGAUGGCCGGGUCGGCGCACGACGCGCCCGUCCU